rnacentral:lncRNA from 1 species
AAACCCUUAAGCCCAAUCCAGAAUCUACCCUGAACCUGAACACUCAUGUGCCUAGGUCUAAUUCAAUCACAAAGACCAAGCCAAAUCCUAGAAAAGUAACUACGCCUAAAAACCUAUCCUACCAGAUUAAACCCUAUUCGAUGAAUGCAUUGCCUUCCUAGAAAAAACCCAUCCAGUUAGACACAUCUCUUCUGACCAUCCUUAGCCCACAGAUUCAUACUCAUCUUCCAUCUUUCCAGCCUAAUCAAUUUCUCUUAACUGUUACUACUCCUUUCCAACCAUCCACAAACCUCUAGCCAUGGGCAAGAUGGUAUAAUCUCCCCUGGUAGCCCUCCUGAGGUUCCUCCAUUCAUGGGCAAUCCUAUCCCUAGGAAACCACCUAACCCUCUUAGUGAAGUUCCUAUGUUGGUGGAUGGUGAAAAAAAUGUUGAGGUUGAGGUUUCUCAGGCUAUUGUUUUGGAUACCCAUUUGAUGAUUAUCCCUGUCGCUGGAGCUCUAUCUCAUGAUAACCAAUCUAUGGUUAUUCCUGUUAAUGAAGGCAUCCCUUGAGUUUAACUCGGAUUUUUAAUCACAAUUUUUUUUGAAUUUUCUGAUUUGGAAUUGCUGUGGUGCAGGUAAGAAGGUCUUUCCGACCCUAGUUCGGGAUCUUAUGAGAAUGCAUGAUCUUGAUUUUGUUGGUAUUCUUGAACCUUGAAUCAGUGGAGCGGUAGCUGAAAAAGUUAUUAAGAUUGGUAUAUGGGGUUUAGUGGGCAACCUUUCACUUGGCAUCAUGGAUCCCUAUAUCAACAAUUAGACCGUGUUCUUGCGAAUGAUCCAUGGCAAAUUUUUUUUUUCAAUUCCAAAGUUUCUCACAUGAAUAUCCCAUCUUCUGAUCAUUGUGGGCUUUGGCUCUUGGUUUCAGAUGGGGUUAACAGGCAUUACUCGGGUUAUUUUAAAUUUCUAGUGGCUUGGCUGCAGCACCCAGAAUUUCCUAGUUUAGUCCAUAAUGGUUGGCAUUUGAAUAAGCAUUGGAAUGAGAAUAUGAAGCGAGUUACUGAUCGCCUAAAUUUUUUGGAACAAGGACUGUUUUGGCAGCAUAUUCAAAACUAAAAAGGGGAUCCUGGCAAGAUUAAAUGGAAUUGAUGAAGCUCAUGACAACAAUCAAAGUUCUAGACUCACUGAGUUGAAACAAAAGUUGUGGAAUGAGUACAUUCAAAUCUGUGACCAUGAGGAGAUGUACAGGUUUCAAUUGUCGUGAACUAAGUGGUUGAAUAUGGGGGAUAGAAAUACUCAUUACUUCCAUCAAUCUUUCCUCACUAAAAGGCAUAAAAACAAGAUUGAUGUGUUUCAGGAUGAUAAUCAGAUAUGGAUUUACGAUGAGGAUCGUAUCAGGAAUAUGGUCCAAAGCCACUAUAUUGAUCUUUUCUCCUCAGAGGACCAUGGGGUGCUGGCGCUACAAACCAUAUCUACUUUCCCUUUGAUAUCUGAGGGUGAUUAUGAUUUUCUUAACAUGGAGUUCACCUUUGAGGAGACUAGGUUUGCACUCUUUACUAUGGGGAAUUACAAAAGCCCUGGGCCUGAUGGGUUUCACCCAGCUUUCUUCAAGUCUCAAUGGGAGAUUAUUGGGAAAUUGAUUUUUGGCUUCAUUGUUCAUGUUAGGCAUAAUUCAACCAAUAUCACCUCUGUUAAUCAGGCUCUCUUGACUCUUGUUCCGAAGACCAGUGAUGCCUCCUCUAUUUCUCAGUUCAGACCCAUUGCAUUGUGUAAUGUGAUAUAUAGAAUCCUUACAAAAAUGAUUGCUAUCCGCAUUAAAAGAAUUUUGCUUUACGUGGUGGGACCUCUCCAAACUAGUUUCAUUAAGGGCAGGAAUGAGGAAUCCUGUGCAUAACUACAUUAUUUUGCAGGAAUCAAUUCACUCAUUUGAGACGAAGGUGACUUGCCUGGGAUAUAUGAUCUUGAAGUUGGAUUUAAAGAAAGCUUAUGAUUGGGUAGAAUGGGAUUUUGCUAUUCAAAUUCUGGAGCAUUUAAGGCUCCCACAAUUGUGGAUUAACAUCAUUUCAGCUUGUAUUACUACUCCUAAUAUGGCUAUUAAUUGGAAUAGGAAUCCUACUAAUUCUUUUGCUUCGUCUAGAGGCUUAUGCCAAGGGGAUUCGAUGCCCCCUCUUUUUUUUGUUCUUUUCCUUGAAAGGCUAGUCCAUCUCAUUUGUGAUCCUGUACAUCAAGAGAGAUGGAAACCUUUCUCCUUUGGUAGAGGGAGUGGGGUCAAGAUCUCUCACCUUUUCUUCGCAGAUGAUAUCAUUUUGGUAGCUAAAGCGAAUUAUCAACAAGUGCAAGAGAUAAAUAGGAUCAUCUCUCUUUGCUACUGUUUCUGGGUAAACUGUAAACCUGAAUAAAUCUUCAGUGUUCUUCUCUAAGGGAGUUAGCGAUACUCUUUCUAAUUCUUAAAGUCGGAACUUGAAUGUCCCUAUCACUAAGAAUCUGGACACUUACCUCAGUUUUAAGAUUCUUCCUAAGAGGAAAACUGUUAGUCAUUUCUCUUUCUUGGUGGACAAAGUUCGGAAGAAGCUUUCUGGUUGGAAAGGGAGAAAGCUUUACAUGGCUGGCAGAGUUACUAUGGCACAGUCAUGUUUGCUCAGCUUCCCUCCUUAUGUUCUUCAGGCUACUCUUAUUUCGAUUGCUACUUGUAAUGAGAUAGAAAAGAUUUGUAGAGACUUUAUUUUGUGCAGUGAUGCUAAUAACAGGAAAAUCCACCUUAUGUCUUGGGAGAUGACUUGUAAACCCAAAGAUCAAGGGGGGCUUGGAUUUAGGAGUUUGAGGAUGCUUAAUCAAGCUUACUUCUUGAAGUUGGGUUGGUCAAUGAUGAAAGAUCCCAAUACUCUUUGGGUUAGACUUUUGCGGAUGAAAUAUAAUUGCGGGCCAUCUGUUAUUUCACAAGUUAAAACUUCUCCGAAAGCCUCCCACAUCUGGAAAGGGAUUGUAAAUAAUUGAAUCCAUAUAUCUAAUAAUAUUUUAUGGUCCAUUAAUAGUGGGAAUAAUACUCGUUUUUUGGAAAGAUGCUUGGAUCCCUGGAGUACCUGCAAUUGACUCCCUGAUUCCUGAGGAUAUUCAUAGUCAUGUCUCAAACCUCCCUGUUUCUGCAUAUGGUGUUGAUGGUCACUGGAGAUGGGAAGGUCUUAAUGUGUUAGUGCCACCAUAUAUUUGUGCUAUGAUUGCUUCUAUUAACCCGCCUUCCGGAACUGAUGAUGAUACGCCUCUGUGGAAAGACUCUCUGGAUGGUAGGUUCACUAUUAGUAAUGCUUAUCAUUAUUUAUCUAACCUCGAUGAACCUUCUUCUGGCCCUGUUAAUUUGUUGUUCGCUAGUAUUUGGAAGUGGCAGGGACCUUAAAGGAUUAAGCUUUUUCUUUGGAAGCUCAUGCACGCUCGUCUUUUGACGAAUGAGUUUAGAGUUAGCAAACAUAUGACAAAUGAUAGUAUAGCAAAGUUCUGAGUUGUUUCUCCAAAAGGCUAGGCUAUUGUAAUGUGAUAUUGGCUGAGCUUUGGAGCUUGAAGUAUGGUAUUAAGUUGGCCAUAGAUCUUAAUACCCAGUUUUCUUUGUUCGAAAUGGAUGCACGUGAGGCUGUUCAUAUGAUUGAUGUGAUCAAGAGUGUUCCUAGUUCUUUGAGACCUUUAGCUGCGGAUAUCAGGAGGGUGCUUUGGGCUAAUGGUUGGCAAAGUUCUAUUGUUCACAUUAAUAGGGAAGCUAACUCUGCUGCUAAUUGGGCUGCCAAAUUUGGACAUCAAAGGAAUUGGUCAUCUUUCUUGGUGGAUGAGAUACCCUUUGUUUUAAAAGCUCUUGUUGCUAAUGAUGUUAGGAGAGCUGCUGCUAGCCCUCUAAGGCUGCCUUAGUUUUUGUUCUUUAUCCUUAGUAUCGAAAAAAGAAGUGAAACCUUUAAAAUUACAAUUUUUAAUAAAUAAUAGUGUGUUUCUACUACUAGGACAUAGAGCAUUUUGGUAUGGAUAGUGAAAUUAAAUUUUCUUAUUAGCUAAUAAAACAUCACAGACGAUAGACUCCUAGUAGUUUGUUUUCAGCUCUUAAUACACUGAAUAGCGAGAACAAAAAUAAAAUAAAUCCAUGGACUCGAUUGAAUUUUUUCAUGUUUUUGUUUUAAAAAUUGUUGUCUAAGAUAAAUUUCUAUUCAAUGUUAAAUUUUUCAUUUGAAAUAUAUCAAGGGGAGUAUUGAAUUAGGAUUUUAAAGGACUAUUUUAGCAUAAAGGCUUGUAGAUUUUAAUGAUUAUAUAGGAAUAUUAUGACUUAUUAGAUUUUUUUACAAAAUUUUAUGAUAGUUUGAAUUUUAAUGGAUUAAUAUCAUACAAAUUUAAAGGAUUUAAAAGAAUUUUAUAGAUUUAUAAGAUUUUAAAGAAUUCUGUGAAUUUUUAAAAACACAUUCAAAAUUAUGAGUUAGUGAAAAAAUAAUAAAAAAAUAAUAAAGUUUAAAUAAAAAAAAGUAAAAUCAAUAUAAUUUUUUUAAUCAUUUAAUAACUAAAUUAAUUCUAACUUUAUAUCCUUUUAUACUAAUUCUUCUUGUAAUAACAUUUUUUGACUUUUGAAUUCAAAUAAUAGAUAUAAAAUUAUAAGUUAAUUUUUUAAUUUUUUUAAUUACUAAUAAAUUUAAUGACAUAUUUAAAUGGGAUAGAAGAGAGUGAUGAGGAUGAAAAAUUUGUAAGAGGACUAUUGAAUUAUGUCGAUGACGAAAUCAAGAGUGACAAUAAGAAAAAUAUUGUGUUGAGCAUGUGAUUGACAUAGUUAAUACAAGACAAACAUUAAUUUAGAAAACAAAUGAAAAAAUAGAGAGAAGGAGUAUAUUUGAUAUUUUUAUAUUUCAAAAGAAUAGAACAAACUUAUAUGACACACAUCUUGAAAAAUAUGAAAGAGAGAAGCUGAUAUGUGUGAUGAGAAAAAAAAAGUUUGAUAACCAAUAAAAAAAGAAAGAAAAAAGUAUAGUAAAAUCUCAAGAGUUUGAGAGAUUUUUUUGAUAGAUAUUUUAUAUUAAGGAGAUCUAUCAAAAUCCUUCUUAAAAAAUAAUCCACCAAAAGUUAUAAUUUUUUAAUAUCAAAAUAUUUUUUAUAAUUUAUAAAAAAUCUUAAUGGAAUACCACCAGAUUUUGUUGUCUUCUUUAAAUAUCUUAAAAAUCUUAAUUGAAUAUCACAAAAUAUAUUUAUACCAUUUAAAAAUGCUGAUUGAAUACCACAAACAUUUUUUAUAAAAAAAAUCUUUUAAAAUUCGUUAAAAUUCUAAUCCAAUACACCCAUAAGUUUUGAGAAUGUUUUAAAAAGAGUGCUUAAAAGAAAUUAAAAAAAUAGAAACAGUUGAGAGAUAUUUUCUCAUUCUUUUCCUCUGUUAUCUUCAUAUGCUCUGUUCAAGUGUUUAGAAAACAAAUAUAUUCAGAUGAAAAACGCAUGCAAAUGUGUUCAGAGGAUAAACAAACAAGGCAUAAAUCAUUUCCUUUUCUCUUUGGUGCUCUUCUCUAUGCUCAAGUGACCCUUUCAAAUUUUAAUCCAUAAAGCUGAAGAAAUAUAGUAGCAGUAAUUUCAGAUAAUUACGAAUGGGUAAUAAUUAUUAAAUCAAAUACUAGAUUACAAGUCUCGUAAUUCUUCAUGGAUCAAGAUUCUCUGCAGUAAAAUUUUUAACUACAACAAUAACCCUUAAAAAUGUUUAUUUAUUCAUAAAAAUAUUUUUUUUUCAAAACUUGUACACCGUUGGAUAAUAACUGCAUGGGGUGCAGUUCAAUUCCAAACUCCAGAGGAUCCAAUUCCAUUGUUUUAACGAGCGUGAUAAAUUUAACUGAAGCAUAGUACAACAGAAAACAGACAUAAGAGUACAGAAGAGGACAAUGACUGCUUAAAUUAUUGUUUCUUAGAACAAAUUAAAAGGAGAGUAGCACCAAAAAGAAGAUCACAACAGAGAACAGACAUAAGAAAUGUUAAAUAGACUAGUAUAAUUGUUGGUUGCUUAAAUGGGGUCAGUAUUAAUGAAUGCAUUUUAGGCAUGUAGUGGGAAACGAAGUGACUGCCAAGCAACAUUCUUAAGAACAAAAGGACAAUGUUUUUGGUAGGCUUAGUUGUCAUGGCGCCACUAUAAAACCUAUUAUCCAGCAUCAUGGUUUGCAAAGUAGCAGCUUAAAUUGGUUGAGACUUGAGAGAGAUAUCUCCAGGCAAAUCAAUAGACAAUGGCACUGAAAUCAGCAAUCUCAGUCACAUUCUUGUGCUUAGUCUUGUUAGCACUAGGAAAUGGUUCUAAUGCUGCAAAAUUGCAAUCUACUGGGGCCAGAAUGGCAACUAGGCACGCUGGACGAGGCUUGUGCCACAGGGAACUAUGACUAUGUGAUCAUAGCCUUUUUGCCAACCCUUGGCGAUGGCCAAACUCCUAUGAUUAACCUUGCAGGCCAUUGUGAUCCAUACAGUAAAGGAUGCACUGGCUUAAGCUCGGACAUUGAGUCCUGCCAAGCCAAAGGCAUCAAGGUGUUGCUCUCUUUAGGAGGAGGUGCAGGAAGCUACUCAAUUGCAUCAACUCAAGAUGCAAGCCAAGUAGCCACUUACCUUUGAAACAACUUCUUGGGGGGACAGUUGUCUUCUCGUCCUCUUGGCCCCGCCAUUCUAGAUGACAUCGACUUUGACAUUGAGGAUGGAUCAAACCAGCACUGGGGUGAUCUUGCCAAGUUCCUUAAAGGGUAUGGCAUGGCCAAGCAAGGCAAGCAAGCGUUCAUAACUGCAGCACCUCAGUGCCCAUUUCCUGAUGCUUGGAUUGGAAAUGCCCUCACAACAGGCCUUUUUGACAUUGUUUGUGUCCAAUUCUACAACAACCCUCCUUGCCAAUACAAUUCUGGGGCAAUUAGUCCCUUGAAGAUGCAUGGAAGCAGGUAGCUGGAAGUGGUUUCAUUCCUUCUGCUGAUCUUAUUUCCAAGGUGCUUCCAGCCAUUAAGGGUUCUGCUAAAUAUGGAGGUGUUAUGAUGUGGUCUAGGUAUUAUGAUGCUCAAAGUGGAUAUAGCUCCUCCAUCAGGAGCCAUGUGUAAUAUCCAAACUCAUCAUCUACUAGCAGUGUGUAAUAAUACGUGUUAUUUAUCUGUGUGUAUCGGUAUAUGUUCAAAUAUUAAUGCCUACAAGUAUGUUUGGAUGGUUCAAAUGAAUGCUGUCGGAGAUGAAUGUUGUGAACCAUAACAAAUCAGCAUGCAAGAAAUUAAGUAGAUUAGAACCAUAACAUGUUUCCCUGUAUUUAGAAUUUAUUCACUGUCGGUAUAAAAGACUGAGGUAUCAUUAUUUAUUAAUUACCUUCGAGUAGAAAAAGUGAAUUAAUAACAAAUAUUAACAAUGAAUGCACUUGUUAAAUAUUAGUAAAUAUUAAUUAAAUUCUGAUACUUAUUAUACUAAGCAUCAAUUUUCCAUUACCAAUUAUUUUUUUUUUAAAAAACAUUACUAAAAAAAACAUCAAUUUUCCAAUCUUACGUAGUUAUAGGUGAUAAACUACUUCUACAAUAGUAGUAAUUUCUAAAGCCCUUUACUAUUUCUGGAUAAGUUAUCAUUGUGCUCGAAGAAUUUCAAAUAGAACUUAAAAUUAGUAUUGUCACAAUUCUAAACCAAUUAGCCGGCGGUCUAUUACUUUAAGAGAAAACAUGAAAGUAGUAUAUUGAAUGGCCUAGUCUAAUCUAAAGAGUGUGAAUGGUUAAGUGUGGUUACUAGUAAAGAGUAUACAACAUAAAAAAAGAACAUUUAAUUUGCUUAUAUAAAAAUAUUGCUAAUAGAAUAGAAGAGGAGUCAAUGUUAUAGCGAGUGUUUUUAGAUCUAGGGUCUUUCUGCCAAAAACUAGUUAUAGUUGAAAACAAUAUCUCAUUCACUGAAGCAAAUAUUUUUUUAUUUGUAAGAAUCAAAGAAAAAUACAAAAAAGUUUAUAAUAACGAACGCACACUUCUCAAUUAAUUUAGACCCCCUUACACUCUAGCAAAGGUUUAAUAUUAACAUAAAAUAUUGGAGCUUCAAAUCACAUUCAAAGCAAUCACAGGCAAUUCAUGUAAAGAAAAGCGGUUGAUUUUUUAUUUUGAUGUGAGGACACCUUACAGAAAGAAAAAUACUCUUCACCAAAAAUGUUACUAAAAUGAAAGGCAAUUUACAGUUUUUAUGAUCAGCCAAUACCCUCUACUUAUGACUGGGAGAGGAAGGAGAACCUGUUGCAUGUUUACACAGAAAAAAGAAAGUGUAUUCUUACAUGGUAGCAAAAUCACCCCAUCCCCCAUAUUUGACACUAAACAUGAGGAAGCUGAACAAACUAAAACCUUGAUCAACUUGCCCUUCCCUCAUAAAGAACUUCCACUGAACCCCAUAAUGGAGUAAAAUCCUUGGCCACAAAAAUGCACCUGCAAUCACUCUUCAGCCGAGGCUGCAAGGAAUUAUAAGAAUCCACUGUUCUGCAAGGAAUGAGUUUGCCUCUUUUUUUUUUUUUUUGAACAAGGAAUGAGUUUGCCUCUGUUUGGUCCAGCUUAAAACAUAUCAUGCAUGUCUUGUCAGGCUAAUCAAGCUGGAAGGGAUGUCAAAUAUGAUGACCUGUGCCAUUAGUGUAGUGUGCAUCCCUUCACAUAUCACAUGUCUUGUUAGGACUGGGGAGCUUAGAUAAGAAAUAAGAUCAAGAGUGUGCUUAGUGGGAAGACGUAAAAUGAAGACUAAUAUUGUGAGGUUGAGUUUCACUCUGGUCAUGAGAGGGUGGAAAAUGAAAAAAGGGAUAUAUACCAUUUUCAACCAUUUCUCAAUUUUAUUUUAUCAAGCAUUAGAUGAUUUUUUCUUCCAAAAUUUCAACUUGUUCAAUAUAGGUUUUCACACUUUCAGCCAAAACAAGCAGUCCCUACUACUUUAGAUGGAAGUCUAAAUUGAUAUGUACAGGUAUCCAAGUUUCAACUUCCUAAUUCAAGCAACAGAUAUAACUUUAAAUGACAUGAAUUCUAUCAUUACACAAUUUAUGAGAUACUUCCUAAAAUUUUAUUUGCUUGAGUGAGCUAAUUUAUCAAAGAAGACAGUUAGUGAUAACAAAUAAAUAAUAAAGAACCAUAUUCUUAUAAUGGCACUCAAAAUAAUCAAAAUGAACAGUACAUGAUCAAGAAGCAACAAAAGGCACCUUAUAUAUCUGGAACUGAUCAAGCAGUCUCUCGUGGAGAUGGAAGUUCCCUAUGCCGGAAUAGCUUCAGUAAUGCUCUACGUUCACAAUCCUGCAUAGUUUGAUGAUGAAUACACUUUAUAAGUUGCUAUGACUACAUGACUGCCUUUGAAGCAACACCAUAGAGCAAAAAAUUUCAGCUAUAUAUAUAUAUAUAUAUAUAUAUAAAUCACUCUAUAUUUUACUUAGUGGAGGGAAAUGAGAGGAAGAAUGUGUUACUGAAUUAACAUGACAGAACAAUAUGACCAUUGGAGGCUCAAAAUUACGAGAAUCGGGAAGUUUUUGCAGUAAACACUUUUAUAAAUUAUCAUAACUUAUAUGCAUACAAAGUGAAUGUAAUCUGCAAGUAGCAGUUGAGAAGGAUAUCCUUGUCCAAUUUGAACAGAAAACACCUUUGAAAUAAUAGGGCUUACAACAGAGAUCACAUAAUACAUUCAAAUUUUGAAUUUCAAAAUGGGUAUUGAACAGCAUAUGCACGUGCGUGUAGGAAGCGCACAAGGUGAGAACAUGAGAGAACCUAAUCUCGAAAAGACAAUCAACAAUGGAUGGUCAAGAUUAUGUAUUGUUGUAUGGUUAAGACCAAAUUCCCUCACCUUUGCCCUCUGUGUGUGUGUAGAGAGAGAAGCAAAUCUUUACCAACCAUGUAAGAUUUAAUGGUCUACAUUUGUUCCUCUCACUCAUAAAAAUAGCCCUCACUUUAUAUGGCACUGCACUGAGUGUUUUAUGCUUAAAUGUGUUAAAAAUUCACCUUGAACAUAUAUAGCUGAAUUGGUCUCUCUGGAUUCAUUCUCCUAAGUUUCAAAUAGGUAUAAGCAAAGCUUAGUUGAUCACGAGAUGUAAAUCGAUCAACUUCGUUGAACCAAAGACAUGAAAAUAAAUUUGACAUUGGUGUAUGUGCCCUGAUUAUGAAAGAACCCUCAGGAACAUCUGCAAAGUGAAAGACUCAAUAGUUAGAUUAUUUUAUUAUGCACAAGACCCAACAGGUAUUCCACAAUGAACAAAGAUGAAAAGGGUCUCACAACUCGGAAGAGGAUCAUUUGGCUUUGAUGGGUCAACCUUGGGGAGGCCAUCAGACUGGUAAAAGUUAAAUUGUUCAUCAAUUGCUGUAUGGUUGUAUUUAUUUAAGCGCUUAUUUUGGAGUACCUCCUCCCAAACAUUGUGGCGAUCAUAGUGAUUUGAAAUGGCAUAUUCUGCCUUCCUUCGCCACAAAAAAUAUUCAAUAAUCAGCAUAGGGUCAGAGUUGAGUCGCAUCUUGCUGUCAAGCCAAAUUGAAUACCUACCAAGGAAUGAUUUUUAAACAUCAUGGAAAUGAGGAAUAGAAAGCAAGAAAACUUGGAUGCUAGAACAGAUUACUAGAACUACCUAGAAUGUGGGAAGAGGCGAUGUGAUAAAAAUUUUGGCACCUUGCCAGUUCUCCGCAUGUCUUCAUAUGGCAAGUUUUUUACAACAACUAUUUUCCACAAGCCAAUGUACCCUCUCUCAUCAGGACUGCUUCCUUCUGAUGAAAGUUUGGAUAGAGUUUGAUCAUCCAGGAACAUAACAAAACAAACAUUGUCCUUUGAAUAUUGACUGAUCUGCAUUGCAGCAAAGAAACAUAUAUAAUCUUUUCCACAUAAUUAACAUAUGCUUUAUAAAUCAAAGACAGAAUGCAGUAAUGAUUAAUCUAUCAAUGAAAUAUCAUAAUCACAUAAUUCAGGUUGAUAUUUAAGUUCCAGUUUUCUACUACUUCACAGCAUAAAAUAUAGUAAAUGAGAUCAAGCAACAAGCCAACAAAUAUUGUAGAAAUAUUAAUUCCAAGGAAGGGCCAUAAUAAUAACACUUAUAAACAAAUGCAUGAUCCAUUAUCACCAUGAACAAAGGCAAUAUUUUAAGAAAUCAAAUCUACCUAAUCACAAAAGAUUUGAUGUAUCAAAUGGCAUACUUGUGGAAUGAACUUUCAUUUGAGAUCCAACUAUCCAAGUCUGCAUUCUACAAGUUUCUCCUCUCCUAUUAGUUUUUUUACUAUAUUGUUCUGCUCCAUUGCUUAUUAUUCUUCAAAACCUAUGACAGGGGGAGGGUGAAAAACAGAACACAUGUAACAUAGAUCAUCUGAUUCUGACUCAAUAUCUUUCAUAUACAUAUUACUUUUCUGGCUCCAAUAAUUAAAACUUUCAUCACUUGAUUAAACUAACAUGAUUUUUUGGUUUCAUUUCAACAUGUUGAUCAAACAAAACCUUGACUGAAGACUUUUGUUUAUAUUAUGGAUAAUGUACAAAAUAGCAAAAAAUGUUUUAAAAUAAUUGCAGGAUUACCAGUCUACUUGUAGGCCUCCGGAGGAAAUCAGAGCUUCCAAAAAUGCAAGAAGAAACUGCAACCUUACAUCUGUACAUAUAAGCCUUAUCUUUUUCAUUUAUAUCAAAUCCAGUGCUUGGAUGUCCUGGUUUCCCUUUUACAAAACCACAAUGAAGAGUCUGGUUUUUUGCAUAAAAUGAAUUUUCUCUUUCCUCUAGAGUCUGAUGUCCUCCAAAUCGAGGUUCAAAUAAAUCAAUUUUGGACGUUCUAUCUUCAUGGUCAACAUACUCUAGAGAAAACCAUGUGAAGUUCAUAUAAUUUUUGGGUUCAACAAGGCCAUCUACUGAUUCCAGAAGUCCAACUUCACACGGAAAAUCUGAAGCAUUGAUAUUCAAGGAAAAUAUUGGAGGCAAAGAAUCUAGUUAAUACUAGACUCAGUUCUAUGAGGAACAUAUAAAUCCAAAUAAUCCUGAUAGAUCAUGAACAAUGUUGAUUUAUUUAGUUGACCAAAUUCAAAUAUUAGCAAGUGAUGUAACCGUGGUGUAAAAAAUCCCAAAGAUUUUUUCUUUUUUCAUUUAACUCUGGAAACACCAUUUGCAUUUGAGAUUUAAAAGUAAUCAACAUAAUAACAUAUGCAGAAGCACACAUUAUUUGCAAAGUGCUAAUUAUCAUAAUGUCACAGCAACAACAUCAACCAGAUGAAUAAUCAAGUUCCGCUAGCAAAACAAAUAUGAUUCACAUAACACAAAGAAACUCUUUUACUUGAUGCUAACAAAAAUAUAUUUGUCAUUAUCCUAGAAAGAAGAAUGCAACACACUCUCCUCCUAACACACUGAUUGAUUUAAAUUUAUUGGAAACUACAAAAUCACGAGAGUCAUUAAAUAAGAUGUGAGACCCAUAUUUUUAUUUUGUAAUUUUCAAUAAAUUUCAACCAAUCAGAGAAAAUGUGUUUAAAAGAGUAUGUUGCUGGCAUUUCUCUCCUAGAAAUGUUCCACUAUCUAUGACAACUUUUUCUUGGACUUGAUGUUUACUCCAGCAGCCAUCCAGAUAGCUGCUCAUUUUUCCAAUUUUGUAAACUUGCAGAUUCGUCCUCUAUCUGAUGCUUCAGAACUUUCGUUUCACUAUUGAUUUUUCUAAAAGGGGUUUCUCAACAAAUCUUUAUUUAGAAAUACAGGUUAGGGGAUGAAGCAUAGAACAGAACUAAAAGUGAAGUUUGACUUCAAAUUCAUAAAACAUAAGUUAAAGAUGACUUAAAUAUGUUUUUGAUCCCUAAUAAAUACCUAAUUUUUGUGUUUUCUCCCUAAUAAAUUUUUGUUUUGCGUUGAGUCCCUAAUAAAACAAAUUUUGUUUUUGGUACUUGAUAUUUUGUUUUAGUCCUUGAUAAAUUAGCAAAAAUAAAAUUUGGUAAUUUAUUAGGGAGCAAACACAAAAUUCGAUAAUUUAUUAGGGACCAAAAACAAAAUUGUUUUAUUAGAGACUCAACACAAAGCAAAAAUUUACUAGGGAGCAAAUGCAAAAAUUAGUUAUUUAUUAGGGAUCAAAAACAUAGUUAAGUUUUUAAAGAUAAAUGAGGAUCAAGGCAAUGAGUCUUACGCUUUCGGCGCUUCCCUUUAGAAGUGUUUCCAACAUCAGAUACCACAAUAUUUUCUUUAGACGUAUUUCCAUCAUCAGACACCACAAUAUUUUCUUUAGACGUCUUUCCAUCAUCAGAUACCACAAUAUUUUCUUGUAGGUUACGUUCUUCUUGUAUACUGUGUGGUAUUGUUGAGAACUUGGAUUCCAUUUUAGCUGUGUAACGAAACCAUUGUCAAGAAAUACUAGAAGUGAAAAUUCAUGAAGUAGGAUUUCUCUGAUACAUGAGGGACAGUGGGGAACUAUUUGUAUAUAACCAUACAAAGUACCAGAAGAAAAGAUACAUGUCUCUGUCCUCACCUUGAAAAAACAUUUUCAAACCAUAAACUGUUAGAAGUAUUGAAAGGAGUGCUGUGAGAAGGAAAAUCCAGCGUGAAAGCUUGUGUUUGGUAAUCCGACCAAACCUUCGACCACGACGUAAAACUCUAGAGCCAUGAUCACUUUUUUCAAAAGAAUUGAAAACUGCAUCAACGAUGUUUCUUCUCUCAGUGAACAAUUCACCAUUGGUUCUAUGCAGAGCCAUUCCAAAGCACGUCCCAAGAUUCAGACACAGAACAGUUCAUCUGCAGAAAAAAAUAUAGUUUCCAACUUCUAAGUCACACCAAAAAGGUCACUAGCAAACCAUAAAUCACCCAUGCUGCCAGCUGAAGAUCUUAUGUAAACUAAACUCAUACAACUCAAAUCCACGUAUGCUUAAAUAGUUUUAGAUUAAGAUGUUAAUGCAUAAUGAAAUGUGAAAGCCUUCAAUUUAAACCAGUUAUUGCCAGGGGAAGCAAGCAGCUGCAGAUUAUAAAAUCACUAUCAGAAUCAGAGAUCAAUAUAAAAAAAACAUGAAAAUGUCAAGCUAAAACUUCCUCAACCAUCCUUUUAGGUAGAGCUGUCAAUUUGGCCCAACCCACAGGGAUAGGCCCUGGCCCAAAAUGCCCACUUGUAAAAAAGCUCUGUAGUUUAAUUUUUCAUCAGCCAUACUGUUAAAGUUUAAUUUUAAAUUUACAAUAAUCAUAGCAUUUGGUUUACAACCAAUGCAGACUCUUCAACGACAGUGAAUCAUACUCAUUCAAUAAAAAGCAAUUGGGAGUUUUCAUGACUGCACAUAUCAUAUGUGCCUCUAUUAAACUAAAUAAUAAUAAAAAUCAUAUAGAAAUGCCAUAUCAGAUCACAGGAACAAAAAUAUAUUAAUAGAAAAAAGUAGCAAAAACAGCCGAGUAUAAAAGUUAUAAAAACAUUGAGCUGAUCACUGUUAUUUACAACUCAGCAAACAAAGUCAUAGCAAACAUCAGUUAUUUUCAACUCAGCAAACAAGAAAAAACUCUAUCCUGCUGUUCCAUAACCAGAUUACAAGUCUCUUAAUCACAAAAAAGAGAACCUAUAUUUCACUCACUCAAGUUAGAAGACAUGAAAAUAGACUCUAAUGUCAUGUCCCUACUCUCAAAAUGGAAUGAGAGAUAAAGCUACUAAAAGGCAAACAAUAAAGGAUCCACCUGAAAAGGUGAUCAAUGCUGAUGCAGCAUUCCUGGGAGCUGAUGAUGGAGCUCCUCCUGGAGAUAGCCCAUUUGCAGUAGCAGUAGCAGUAGCAGUAGCAGAUGCAGGAGAGAGGCCUGCAAGAAAAAUUGUGAUGAUUCAAAUCAGAAACAUCAAUCAUGUCAGAAAUUGUAAACUCAACAACAAAGAUCAAAAGCUUCAAGAUCUUUUACACAUAAAACAAAUAAAUUAUAGGAUGGGAGAAAAACAAGUAAUUGAAUGGCAAGCAUGCUUAAUUGACACAGAAGAUAUAUAUAGGAUGGAUAACAACUUUUAAUUUCUAUCUACCUUAUAUUUUUAUUUUUUAACUAAUGCAACUUAUUAGAAUUUCUCUAUGUAAAAUUAUACAAAGCCAUUUAUAUAUUAAUAUUAAAAAAAAAUAAUUCAUAAACCACUCAAUAAGUAAACUCGAAAUUAGUAAAGAAUGGGUCAACAAGUACAGUAGAACUUGUUCUGUGGGAUGUCGGUUAACUUUUUCCCAUUGUAUAUGUCUAUAAAAGGCACAGAAUAGUAGUAGUUCACUAAUGCACUACAUGGGACAGAAUAUAUCAGCAUCAAUAAUGUUCACUAGACAACUUUAAGCUUUUUUCUGCUGUGGCAGUAUCAGUAUAGUUCCAGGCAAAUGCACACUAACAUAAGAACUUUUGAAACUUUAAUCAUGGAUGUUGAUGACACAAUCACAAGAACAAUUUGAAAAUUCUUUAUUGUAGCAUUACAAUUGCUAGGGAAGUAUAAUAUUUCUAGCAGCAGAAAUGAGUCCAGACAACAAUUUCAAGGCAAUACAAUUAUAAAUAAACAACAACCAGAUCAAAGUUGUACACAACUACACAAAAUAAAAUAAUCAAGGGACUUGUGUUCCUGAAACAGUGAAACUUGACCUCAAUGCCAUAACCAAUUUAUAAACAUAUUGACCUAGUUUCUUUGAUUCACUUGUGACUAUUGCUUGUCCCUGUUAUCCAUGAUUGGAAGAAAAAUCAUAUUUAUAUACUUCACAUUUUCCUUUUUUAGGAAAAUGAAGAAUCUGAUAUAUUAUAAGAAUGUAAUGGUUGAGAUUUGAGAAGAAAAGAAAGGAAAGUAAGAAAACACGAAAGGAACAGAACCAGAUUAACAACUGAAUGGGAAAAAAAUAUGCAAGCUUCCUAGUGAAUAUGUUGCUUUAUGAACUUCUUUGAUAGACAUAAUUAUGACGCUAACUUUACUUUGGACUCAUAUCUAAAUUCUAAACCAAAAAAUACUAACUUUGCCAAAGUCUGAAAUGGGUCUUAAUCUACAACAUCAAGUCUACAUUUGUUUGUGAAAGUAAUUAGAAAAACAAAACAUAAUGUGUGUGUGUGUGAGAGAGUUGAGGUUAAAUUUAUAUAUCCUAUUCCUGUUUGAAACCAAACCAACUCUUGCUGUGAUACCAGGCUUUGAGGCUAAGCCAUCCAUAUUUAUAAAUCCUAUUCUUGAUUGGAACCAUUGCAAAUUUAUCAGUGGUGCAUCUACUACCGAACUGAAGGUUUAAUUCAUUUCAGAUAUAUAAUAUUAUAAUCAGAAAAGCAAGAACAGUGACAUAUAACAUUUCAUAUCAAACAAAUUGGGGGGACGAGGAAAUUAAAAAAAAGGGGUCACAAUUUUGCUUCAGAGGUGAUCUUAUAAAGUAAACGAAGGGAGUUUUCUGAAUUGGGUGGGGGGUCACAAUUGUGCUUCAGAGGUGAUCUUAUAAAGUAAAUUCAACUAAUGGAAACAGAGAAAAUAUAUUUUGGAGCAAGAAGAUUGAUUCUGUAAAAAAAAAACAUCAUAGCAGUAAUAAAUAUACUUACUAGUUUAGAUCAAUACAACAACAACAAAGCCUUAUCCCACUAGGUGAGGUCGGCUAUAUGAAUCACACUAUGUCAUUUGACACGGUUAAAAACCAAAGUUUCAGAAAUAUUAUUAAGUCUAAGAUCUCCCUUGAUGAUUAAAUAUUAAAUAUACACUAGUUGUCACCUGUCAAGCAAAAUAAAAAGAAAAAGAGACAAAAAAAGGGUCCAAACGGGGAAGCUCUUUACAUAAGGGUCACUACUUGAGCUAAUACAGCAGCAAGUAAUCGUAGUGGUAUGUUAAAAGGUACAAAAAAUAAAGAUACAUUUGCUGACCAAGUUCAUACCCCCCCCCACCAAAACCACCACAGUUAUUUUUCCUUUCGAGUAUUAAAAAUUGAAAGAAAAGAUCAUUCGGAUUGAAGCCUGCCAUAUAGUGUGUAUGCAUAGUCCCAACACAAAUACUGCCUAAUGAAGGGCUACCUGCAUCCAAUGCACCCUAACUUUAUAGACAAGGUGAAGGAGGAAGGAAGAAAUCACUCAAAACAGCAUGUAAAGAAAUGGUAGUCACUUAUUAUGCUAAAAAUUAAGAAACGGUUAUACUGUGGUUUCAAUUAAGAAAAUUAAAGUAAUAAAACAGAAGCAACGGGAAGGAACUUUAGGAGCACGUGGAUUAAAAUUUAAAACUGAAAACAAAAUGUAACUAACUGCAGAAAAUUUUACCCGAUAUCCAACAAUAAAAAAUUGAACGAGGUGAUGAAACAAAAACAUAUAUACAGUAGUAGCAGGACUAUAGCUAAUGCAAUCGCAAGGAAUGUGAAAAAUUGUAACAUAAUGAAUGAAUUAAAAAGGUGAAUAAAAGUAAUAGCGAAUAUUGAAUAGACAUGACAUAUAUGCUUCGGUUUUCUAUUUUCACAUAUUGCCACAAUAACACUUUCUUUUUCAAAUGAUUUAGCCAUUUCAUGCAAUCUCAUGAAAUAAAAAAGCCAUUUAUUUCACAACAGACAUAGAUGAUAUGAGGGAACAAAACUUACGAUUUUUCCCUACCCAUUUAGCAUUCAAGCCUUAUAAAAACAAACCCAUUUGCACACUGCAAGUACACGACCAGAGAAACCCAGAAUCGACCCAAAAGAGCAAAAAAAGAAAAGAAAAAAAAAUAGUGUAGUUAGGGUUAAGGUAAGAAGAGAAGCAUGUACCGGUGGUGGUAGUGGCGCGAGAUUGCAGAACCCUUUACUGAACGCGUGGGAUUCGUAUAUACGUGCAGGAAAGGUUGAUUCUUUCGAUAUGCAAGGAACCUAAAAAUCCAAUAAUAAUGGAGCAGCUAAGUCACAAAAAAAAAACCCGGAUCCUUGGAACAAUCGAAAAGGGAGAAUCAACAUGUGUCUGUCGAAAUUAUUCGGAGAAACUGAGGAUCAAUUAUGGCUGAUGAUGAUGAUGCAUUGCCGGAGCAUAAAAGCAAAUGUAUGACUCAAACAUCACGAUCCGCACACUUUGGAAGGCAAAGUUUCCAUUUUUUGCCCGUUUCAGUUUCGUUUUCUUCACUUUGUGUUUGUGUGUUUUCUGAGCUUUCUUUCUUUUUCCUGACACCGACAGUGUAACGCAGCGUUUUUCGCUCGUGGGUGAGUCGGUGAUGAUACGAUGAUGCUCUUUCGAUCUAUAUGCUAAUGUGUGGUACGUGCUUAUUAUAAUAAUAAUACGAUGGUGAUGCUUUUUUUCCGAUUCUGUGUUUUCUGUUUUUGUUCACAUUGCGUUAAUCGGCUUUGUUAAUUGAAAAUUUGGCAUGUGUAUUAAUCGACGAUGUAAAUUUAUUAAUGAUAUUUGUUGAGUUAACAUGCUAUGUUAUUAAUUGAAAUAUGCUUAUAAGUACUGCUAGAGUUCACAUUGUGUUAGAGUGAAUUAAGUGAUGCAAGUAGUAGUAGUAGAUUAUUAGAUUUAGACCUGUCUAAAAUAGGUGUAUUUUUGCAUAUGAUCAAUUAAAGACUGCAUUAAUUGAGAGUUAAUAGAUUUUUUUAUUAAAUUUUACAAAGAAAAGUCUAACAAUGCAUCAUGUAUUCUCUUUCUCUCUCUCUCACACACACACAAAAUGCAUUAAUUGAGUAGUGAAGUUUUGAAUAUUGAUUUAAAUUUAAUAAAAACUAUAAAAUUACAAGAGAGAUCAUUAAAACCUAGAAUAUAUUUUUGGUUUCUUAUUUUUUUAAAAAAAUUCUUUCUUUAUCUUAUAAAAAUUUGUUUUAGUUUUUUAUAUUUAUAAUAUAAUGUAACAACGAAAAAUAUUGAUGUGACAUCAAAUCUUUGUCCGGUUGUAAGGUUCUAGAUAUAAAUUUUUUGAGGAUUAAAAAUAGAAUGAUUAUUUUAAAGACUAAAAAUAGAAUUUUUUUUAAGUGACUAAGACCCAUCAAAAUAAUUAUCAGGGACAAAAAAAUCAUAAAAAAAUCGAGAUCAAAAAGUUAAUAAAUCUGUUUUUAAACGUGUACAUACAAAUAAUCGCCCUUAUAUGUAAAUGGUUGGACAAUUUAUAUAUAUAUAUAUAUAUAUAUAUAUAUAUAUAUAUAUAUAUAUAUUAAUGUAUUUUAUUUUUGUUUUCAAAACAUUUAAAUAUUUAAUUUUAUUAUUUUUCCUCGCACUUUUUCAUUUACUAAAAUGCCGUGUAUUACACGGUUCCAAUGCUAGUUUUUAAUAGAAGCUUUUUUCUUAUAAUUUCUUAACAAGUGCCUUUAGCAUUACCCUUUAAAAAAUUCCUAGAGGAUAUUGUGAAAUUAAAUAAUUAAUAAAUCAAAGAAUUAUCACAGAAAGAAAAAAAAAAAAGGGCAAAACGGUGUCGUAUAAAAGUCUAACAAAAAGCAACUACAAUGACUUAUUUUGUGUUAACAAAGCCGGCGGCAACAGAGUAGAGAAGAGUGGGCAAGAAUGGCGACGGAGAUGGAAGAACUCGUCUCCUUUCUUUCUUCCACGUCGCCUCAGGUAAUAAACUCUCCAAUUCUUCUUCGCUUUCACUUUUUUUUUGUUUGAUUUUAUUUUCAUAAACUCUUACCAUCAAGCUCGCGACUACAUCAAUUGGUGUGAGAUUAUUCUAAUUUAAUUCAAAGUUUGAGUUUUGGUAUGCAAUUACGUUAAAUACUCGGAGAAAAAACUUUAAUUUUAUCCGAUUCGAAUAAGAUUCACUUGAACAUAAUUCUGUAGUGUAUACCCAAAAAAUUUCAGAAACUCUUCUAUUUAUGCCCAUUAUUCACACGUGCGGCUUCUCGUUUCAGAUCACAAAAGCCGCCGUUGACAUAGUCCGCGGCUUAACCGGCUCCAUGGAGGGCUUGCAGUCCCUGGCAAAUUACUCAAACGCCCUCUUACCCGCUUUGUCUCGCCUCUUAACGUUACCCAAGGUAACACACAUACAUGCUACUAUUGAUUCGAUACCGCCACCACUUCUACUUAUGCUAAAACGGCAUGUCGUUUUUGCAGGAGGUUUCGGAGGCUGCUGCGGAGGCGCUGGUGAACCUGUCGCAGAAUUCGAGCCUCGCGGAAGCGAUGGUUGGAAUUGGUCUGGUCAAAACGACGAUGGAUGUUCUGUACAAGCCCGAGUGUAGCAUUGCUCGCUUGCUUGUCAUGCUGUUGGUCAACCUCACUCAACUCGAAGCUGGUGCUGCUUCCUUGCUUCAGGUGCGUGUGAUUUUAUUCAAUUAAAUAAAUAUAUUUAAAGUGUACUCUGGCAUCCAAUCACAAACCCUCAUGUAUGAUAAGUUUGUUUGACUUUAUAUAUAAAAAGUAAUCACAAUGAUGAUUUCUAAUUGGUUGACAGAGUUAAACUACUUUAUGCGUAAGUUAAUUUGUAGAAGUUUUCUUAUAUUGGUUUCUCCAAAAGCUAAUUUUUAACUUAUGCAUAAGUUAAUUUUAGCUUACUUUUUUCAUUUUAUCUUCUUAUUUUAUUCUCCUAUAAUUACUUCUGGAGAAGUUUAUCCAAAUAGACACUAAGAGCGGUUGAAGUCUUAAAGAAGGUGUCUUAGGUCUUGUUUGAAUAAAUUACUUCGCAAGGAGAGAAUAAGAAAAGAAAAAGUGAAUUAAACUUCUCCUGUAAGUUAAAAUCAAUUUAUGCAUUUUAACUUUUAUAGAAGUUUUCUCAUCUAAUUUCUCUAAAAACUGAAGUGCAUCGAUUGAUUUUAACUUAUGAGAGUUCAAUUCAUUUUACCUUGUUUUUUUUUCUCCUAUAAGUGUUUAUGGAGAAAUUUAUCAAAACAGGACCUUAAUCGUUAUAUAGUGUUGUUAAUGGGAUAUUUUUUGUGAUUGUCAGACUGAAGAUGAGAAGGUGCAUGGUUUAUAUGUUAUGAAGCUUGUGAGAUCAUUUUGUAGAACCUCCCAUGAGAGUAAUGGUGAGUUCUUCUCAACUUAGUAUAAUAGUUAUGCUUAAUUUUGUAGAAGCACUCUUUACAUCUGUGUGUUUUCUGUACCACUGUAAGUUUUCCAUGCCUUGUGUGUCUGUAGAUAAUGGUUUUUAGCCCAGUGGAUCUUGUGACAUGUUAUUGAAUUCUGAACAGUUUUCUCUAUGGACUGAAACACCUGUAUUGGAGAGUUCAGAUUCAAAGACAUGGUUUCUUUAUGAAAUAACUAUAUAAUAAAUAUAGGGAGACACAAAACUUGGCUGUUCAAAGCUUAAUUAUUUUAUUUUUGAAAAUUUUCUGCACCUUUUAGAUGGUUGUUGUGAUUGUUGACAAUUCUCUCCUAAUGCUGAUUCAGCGAAAGUGUUUUUUUACCAGAUGAUGCUUUUGAACAUGUUGGUUCAAUACUUGUUAACAUCUCAAAACAGCGGAAAGGGAGGGAGCUUCUACUUGACCCUAAACGGGGUCUCUUAAAGCAGAUAAUCAGACAGUUUGAUUCCAACAGUUCAUUGAGAAAGAAAGGGGUAUGUGCAAUAAAUGCACUCUAAACGAUUUCUGUUUCCCAGCCUUGGGUAAUGUUUGAACUGUUUUAUUUUUAAUUCCAUUGGUAAGUACUUUAUAUUCAUUUUAAUCUGAUUUUUAAACUACUUUUGAAAGAAGUGGUCAAUGGAUGAUUUAGUUGCAUCCUCAAGAGUUCUUUUCUGAUGAGCUGAUGCUCAAUUAAGCAUACAUUACAGGCACAUGGACUGAUGCUGCUUUUGAAGUUGGUAUUAGUUAAUAAACUUUUUUGCCCUAAAACAGUAUUCUUAUAACUGAGUAUAACCUAUCCUCGGUAUUGUUUGGUUCUUGUUGAAUUUCCACUUUACGGAACUGUUUAUGUAAUUAUGGUAACAGUAACAUUGAUUUUUGUGAUUAUUUUCAGUUACUAUUUCUAAAGGCUAAGCCAACAUGGGCAGCUCUUUACUAGUCAAUUUUUAUUGCAUGCAACUUUUCUCAUCUGAAAAUUGUUGCAAUAUUUUAUUGCUUGCAGGUCUCUGGAACUAUUCGCAAUUGUUGUUUUGAAGCUGAGAAUCAGCUACAAAAUUUGCUUUUGGUAUCAGAGUUUCUCUGGCCUGCAUUACUUCUUCCUGUAGCUAGCAACAAGGUUACAUGCUUUACUUUUUCUGACCUCGUAGCAUUCUUCUGCAUAUUGAGGAACAGAUUUUCUCCAACGUCAUCCACUUUAUUUUUAACUACUUGACAAAGUGAAGCUAAACUAUUUUCAAUUUAGUAACAUCAGUAGUUUACCUGAGCCUGACAUCUAUCAUUGCAUCAUGAGUAACUUCUUUGAUGUGUAUAAAGAUUAUAUUAGUUUGUCCAUCUAAUAUUUUUGAGGUCAAUUAUGGAAGGCAAUCAUAAGCUCAAUUUAUUAAAAUCAUUUUAUAUAUUUUAUUGUUCUUGGAACUUACAGCUUCAGAAUGUAAUCUUGAUUAAUUAAUUUUUAUGCAGAUCUACAGGGAGCAAGACAGAUUGAAAAUGCCACUUGAACUUGGGACUGCACUCUCGAUUGAACGUGAACCAGUUAAUGAUCCAGAAAUUCGUAUUCAGGCAUUGGAAGCCAUAUACUUGAUCAUAUUACAGGUAAAUUUGAAAGUUUUGCUUCUUUUCUUUUGGCUCGUUUCGAGUGGUUUUUAGUCUUGAGUUUCAAAAUUUUUAAAAAUAAGAAUCAGUUUUUAGUUUUAGUUUCAAAAGAAUUAUAAACAAGUUUUUAAAAUAUAAUUUCAAAAUUAGUUUAAAAGUGUGUUUGUGUGGUGGUGAUGACAAUGCUGAUGUCAUCAGUAACAAUAGCUAUAGAGAUAUCAGUGAUUGUCGUGGUGACGGUGGCAGUGGCGGCAGCGGUGGUGGUGGUGGCCAUGACAAUGUUGUGGUGGCAGCCAAUGGUGGCGAUGUUGGUGUUGUUGGUGGUGAUGGAGGUGGUAUUAGCUGUGGUUAGUGACGGAUCCAAAAAUAUUAUGUUGUGGGGACAAUACUUAUAUUAUAAAUUAAUUUUUUAUAUUGAAUUCCAUAUUACAAGAACAAUUUAUAAUUACACUUGUGUAUUACAUUAAGAGGGUUUUAAAAGUUUGUGGGGACAAUUGUCCCCAUUGUGUCUCAAGUGGAUUUGUCCCUAUGGUGGCGGUGACGAAGGUGGUAUUAGUGGAGGUGAUGGUGGUGUCAACAGUAUUGGUGGCAAUGAUGAUAAUAGUGCCGGUCAUGGGGUGGUGGUGGUAGCAAAUGGUUGCAGUGUGGUGGUGACAAUGACAAUGGUAGUGAUGGUGACAGUGUUGGCGGUCGCAGUGGUGGUGGCUACAAAAGGUGUCAUUAUCAAAUGUGGGAAAUGUUUAUUUUUUUAUACAAAACUCUAAAUUCACAACUUUGUUUUGUUUUGAAAAUGAGUGUAAAAAUGUUUCGAAAAUGAUUUAAAAACCAUUUCAGCUCCAUUUUUGUCAAGCACGUUUUGUUUUGAAAAUUACAUUUGAAACCCAAAAACCAAAAACUUGCAAUUACCCCAAACGGACCCUUAAUUAUAUUUUAUUUUUCUUUUUCCUUUGUUACCUAUUAAUUAGAUCAGACUAGAUUUGAAUAGAAAUGUGUUUUGAAAUCUAGCAAGUACAUUAUCGGAAUUAAAUAGUGUAACUCAGUGCUCAAACAAUAUUAGCAGGAAAGUUACAAUUAUCUUUUUGUCUUUUUGGUAUAUUACUUGUUUUAUGAAUCUAUUACAAACCCAGAAUUGUGUCAAAUCUACUUCAUAUCAUAUAUAUAAGUCUACUAUAAGAAUCUCUCUUUCUCCCCUUAUCCUGCCUUGGGAUUAGUGUUGGAGAUGAUUACUUUUAUCCUUAGCAAGAGGGAGCUUGAUAAAUGGCUGCACCUGCAAAGAGUUUUUGGCUUAAUUGGUAGGAAUUUAAAUGUUCCCACUGUACAUUGUUAUUGAUUUGUUUUGGAUUAGGAGAUCAAAGAUUUUAUCUGAAUCUUGGCGUAGGAAACAUGUAUGUUACACGUUUUGACCAAUGUAAUUUAAUAAUAUGUAUAACUGUAUAACAAACUGAUCUUAAUAUUCUUUUUGAAACUUCUAUCAAUCGUCGUUUCAUCAAUGAUUAAUACAACUUGAUUAAGAUGCUUUCUGUAUGUUGUAUCAAUAUGUUAUAUGUUAUAAUGCAAUAAUUUAUUGCUGGAUUUUAUUAAUCCAUUUUUUUCACACGGCUAUUUACCCUAUCAAGUAAUAUAUGGCUUUGACUUUCUUGUCAACUGGUCCAGUUUUCAUGUAUUUCAAUGCUGAGAUAUAUUGCUUCUCAAUGCAUCAAAUUUAUGCUAUGAGCUUUCAUUGUUUUGCAGGAGGCAGGUCGAAGAGCCUUUUGGUCUGUAAAUGGACCUAGAAUAGUUCAAAUCGGUUACGAAGACGAGGAAGAUCCAAAGGUGAUGGAAGCAUAUGAGCAACUGGGAUCCUUGGUAAACACAUGUUUUAUUAUCAGUGUUGUCUUCUUGAAUCUCCUCCCCCAUCUUUCUCUUUUAAAUAUAUAGCUAAAUAAUCUGCAUAUUUUUGAAUCCAUGUUUUGAUCAGUUGGUUCACAGUAGCAGUGCAGAGGAACCACUCAGUGAUACCACAAAGUAGUUAUUUUGUAUUACCAUCAAUUGACCCUGCAAUAUCUCUCCAUAAGAACUCUGUAAUACUUAUGAGGGUCAUUCAUUCCAAGUCAAAUUUCCAUUUUGAGGUUAGAAUUACCAAUUUUAGAAAUAUGUAAAUUAUGCGGCUCGGAGUAGUUAGUCAAAAUUAUUUAUACACAUGGCAGAAUGAGUGAAAGAUGUUCUCUUGAUGCAAAAGUUCAGUUUGCUUCUUCAGUUUCUGUAUUUGGAAUUUUGAAUUCUCUAAACUGCAGGUACAAUAUUUCACUUUGGAGAAUCCCGUUUCUUAUGUAGCCUGUUUUCUUUGGAUUAUUAGUAAUCAUUCAUUUGGCUGGUAAACGCCACUGAUAAUUCCCAGCACCUGUGUCAUUAGUGUGCAUUUGGUUGGAGUAUUUGAGAAUUUUAAAGAAUUUAAAAUUUAAGAAUUUUAAUUGCUUUAAUUGAAAUUUUUAUUUUUUAAAUUCUUUUGUUUGAAUAAAUAAUGAAAUUCAUUCAUUUUUAAGAUUAUGUUUGGAUAAAGUAACGAAGUUAUUUCAUUUAUAAAAUUUAUUGUUUUAAUAAAAGAAAAAAAAUUCAUAUUGUAAAUUUUGUAUUUGGACAGGAAAAAAAAAGAUAGAAGAGGAGAGAACGCGUGAAAAAGAAAGUCUUCCAUACACUGAUAAACACCACACUAGUACGUCACAUUUGCGCAUAGCCACUUAGAGAAUGACACCUGAGUAAAAUUAAAAAUUAAAAAUUAAAAACUCAUUAUGUAAUCUAAAACUAAAAGAACGUGAGUGUGACAUCCUCCUCUCUUAAUUUUUAGAUAAACUAAAAGAUAUGGAGAUAAGAAAGAAGAAAAGAGAAGAGAGAUUUUUUUAAGAAAAUUUUGAUUUAAGGAUAAAGUUUUAAAUUCUUAAUUUUCAAUUAAUUAAUUAUUAAGUUUUCCUGUUAAAAUUCUUAAAUUUUGAAUUUCAUUAACAAAAUAUAUAAAACAGCAAAUUUUAGUCUAAUUUUAAAUUCUUCUCAAAUUUUCUUUUCCCUCUUUAAAAUAUUUUAUUCAAACACAUGCAUCCUUAAUGACUACCAGAGUAUCAUUGUAAACUCAUCUCCCUUCGUAUACCAAAUGUGAUUUACAUAUUUUUAUAGAUACAAAGUCUAUGGUAGAUAAUACCAAAAAAAAGAAGUCUGGUAGAUAUGUGGGAUUUAUUUUUGUUUUUAAGAAACUAUUUAUAUUAAAAAUAUUUUAGAUUAAAUUAAAAAAUUAAAUACUUUUUUAAAAAUGAGAAAUAUCAGUUUAAAUUGGCCUUUUACAAGAAUGAACAAAAAUAUAAAAAAUUGUUUUUAGUUUUAUUGAAAUAUAUGAUUUUAGUAUAUUUUAUUACUUAUUUUAUCAUUUUUUUAUUUGUAUUCUUUAAUCUCUUACUAAUUGUGUAAGGAAAUCUAAAAUUGACAAAAUAAUAAUUAACGCUCCAUUAUGUUCUCCUUUAAAAUUUCAAUUUUUUUAUAUAAAAAAUGAAUGCUCGAGAAAAGGAGGAAUAAAAAAUAAAAUAUUUAUUAUAUUUCUUAAUCAUCAUAAUCUUAAAACAUACUAUAAAAGAAAUGUAAAUGGUAUUUGAAUGUUGUUUUAACCUCUGUUAUUUAAUACUUUGAUAUCUCUCUUAUUGACCAAUGUAAAUAAAGAAUUAUAAUUAUGAAAAUGAUAAUUUUUUAUAUUAAACUUUUAAAAUAAGAUAUAAAUAGAAACGAAACAAAAUUUGUUCUAGAACAAUAGACAAACAAACGAAAAAAAAAAUCAACAAAAUGAGAUGAAAAAACAUUGUAUAGUAGAAACUCUUUAAAUUAAUACUCGGUAAAUUAAUAAACUCUCUAAAAUAAUAAAUUUGUCCGGUCCUAACUUGGAUCAAUGUAAAAAAUUGAAAAACUCGAUAAAAUAAGAUAAUAAUUUUUCGUAAGAUCCCUUUAUAAUUUUUGGUCCCAAGAAAAUCAUAAAUUAAUAAUUCAUAGAAAUUGAAAAAAAAUAUAUUACACUCUAUUGAAAUAUAAUUCAAUAGUUGUCUGUUUUCCUUUAAAGUUCAAGUCUAUUUGAAACUCAUCUCUAACUUCUUAUUACAUCCAAUAGCUCAUGUGUUGUAUUUUUGUAUUGUAUCAUAAAGUUGUGAAGAGUGUUCAAAAGUCAUUAUUGAUUUCCAAUGCAUAUAAAUAUAGUACUUACUAAUUUACGUUGAGUCCCAAGGUUUGUUACAACGUAAUUCUAAGAGACAUAAACUAAUUUGUCUUUUAUUAAAAACUCUUUAAAUUAAUAAUUAUUAAUUUAUCAAUAAAUUAAUAACUCUCUAAAUUAAUAAAUUUCUCCGAACAUUAUUAAUUUAUAGAGUUUUAACUGUAUAUGUCAUGAAAUUGACAAUUUGUCUUGUGUUGUGUGUGUAAUAGUGCAGUAGAAAUUAAUCCCAAUUAAUCUCACAACAGUAUAUUUAUGCAUGGGACAAUAGAGUUUGCAUCAGAGUUCACAGAGUUGCUUGCUCCAAAUGUGUUAUGCGAUUUAAUUGUUCCAUUAGGCCUUAGGUGAUAAUGGAAUAUUUAAUAGGAUUGUUUAAGUAACAAUGUUUCAAUCUCUAUAUUCGAUAAAUAAUUUUCGUUCCGUUACCAAGAGAAGGAAUUUAUACAUCAGGAUUUUAUAUGCAACUAGGUGAGAAACCACAUCUCAAAUCCUUCAUACACAUGCUGCUCUCCCUCGUUCUCAUUGCAAUCUUCUAUUAAAAAACAAAAUUUCCGUGUCCAUAUAUGAAUACAUCAAAAGCAUAUUGUGACCCAUAUCAUAUCAAGUGCCUACAAACAAAACUCAAUUUGACAGCAACCCAAGAUGCUAAUUGAACAAGUCGACAUAAAAAAUGUAUUGUUAUGGUUCACAACCGACAAAACCAGCAAACAGAACAACACACCCACACCCAGCAAACAUUCAAAAGCUAAUAACAUAAAAGAAAUUGAAUCAAAACAAAGAUAAGGGAUAGAAGAUGAACACAAGUAAUUACGUGCUUCAAUCACAAAGAACCUAUAUCCACAGGAAGGAAGUGAAUCUAAUAUACCAUGGUGCAAGAGUUACAAAGAUCUUUAUGUACAAAUAAAAUAUUGCUUGAUUCUUUGGUUAUUGAGAUAACAACAUCAAGGAUCCCCAAGUUUCACUCUAUCUCUCUCAGACACCUCGAUCUUCCUCUCUUUCAUUAUGAUUACAUAAGGAAAUACUCAUGUUCAUAUAACACUCAAGAAAACAAGCUAUCAAAGAAAAACUACCAAAUCAGAAAAAGUAAAAAAAGGUACUUGUUGGCCACCAAAAUUAACUUAUCAGAAAACUGUCCCUAAGUAACUUGACAGCUUGCAAACUAUUAGAGACACAUGUUCUCAUGUAUUGAUGUUAAACUCAAAUGCUUAUCAUCUACAGUAGAAUAAUAACAACAAUAACCCUGAUUUAUUAAAAAUAUGCUAACCGUGAGGACUACAUGUUUAAGAUUAAGAUGCCUCAAUAAAAAAUAAAGGCAUUUACAGCUUUUAGUUGACUUGGAGAAUAUGACAAUAAAAAUACAUGACAACACACAACAAGCAGCUCACAAUGCUAAAAGGGGUGAAAAUGAAAAUGGAUUUAAAAUUAGAUGACUAUAGUGAAAAUUAGAUGACUAUGUGCUUAAAGGGGGUGAGAAAAAAAAACAAGAUGGUUGAAUUUGUUAAAUAUUUUGACAAGUAAAAUUUACUUUGUUAAUCUCUUGAGGGUUACACUACUACAAAAGGUUGUUUUUACGAUGUUGUUUCUAAGGCGGUUAUGAAGGACCAUCUUAGAAAAAACGCGGUAGCAUUUUUGUAAUUCAGGGGUCAAAUAUUCAAAUUUAGGAUGCACAUUCUAAGGCGGUUAUAAAUAACCGUCUUAGAAUGUAAAGGUCAAACAAGUCAACGACGGGUAACAGAAUAGACCGUCUUUGUAUUUUGGCUAAUAUUUUCGUUUCCCGCGUGCGCCCCUUGAAUGUAGUUGCGAACAUUUUCCAAGCCCAACCAGUCUACCCCGCUGUGCCCUAGCUGAAACCCCAAACACUCUACCUCGUCCCAAAAAGCAGUAACCCGUGAACCUUGUGGACCUCGCGCCGUGAAGAUUGUUGGUGUGGAGCUCGCGCAUUGAAGAUUCCUCAUACUACAUUUAUUUCAUAUCCUCAAAUAUCAAGCAAAUGUAGCAUUUAAAUAAGAAAUGCAAUAUGCUUUGUUAAUGUAGUUUCAAUUGAUUUUUUCAAUUUUGGUUUUUGUGGUUUGGAUUUUUAAUCAUAGGUGAAAAUGGUCAUUGGUGAUAAUGUCAAAACUGCAAAAGCAAUUGUUGUGGAAUGUGGAAUACUUAAUUCAUACGCUGAUGCUACAGAGCCAAACAUCAUGAAAUUCUGGUUACGUUAUCUCAUUUUUCUCUUUAUUUUAAAGGUUUCAACUAUCAUUCCAAUGCAGAUGUUUUGGUUGUAAUGCAGUAAACUAGCUUUUAUUCUUUUUUUGUAAUUCUAUACAUUUUGGAAUAUAGGUUUCAACUAUCAUUCCAAUGCAGAUGUUGUAACAAUGAAUAUCAUGAUCACGAUGCAAACAACAAAACAAAAAAGUGCCUACAAAUUACAUUGAAGAUUAGACAUCUUUAACUAACAACUCUUAAGCAACAACUUAAUAACCACUUAUUAGCAACCAAUAAAAUUGUAUCCCACUAAAUAAUGUCAGCUACAAGAUUAACAAAAGAAUACACUCACUUCUAAAAGAAAAAAAGAAGGAGAAACUGAAAUAAUUUUUUUUUGUAAGUUAAAAUUAGCUUAUGCAUAAGCUAAUAUGUAGAAAUUAUCUCUUAUUAACUCUUCUAAAAGUUGAUUUUAACUUAUGCAUAAGCUAACUAUGGGAGAAACAUUUUUCAUUUUUCUCAAAUGGAACCUUAGGUGAGAAACACUUGUCUUCUCCUUCUUAUCUCUUUUUAAUGUUUAAUUUCGGCUCAUUUAUCCAUUUCUAAAUUCAUUUAACACAAAUAAAAAGAAAAUGAACAGUUAAACCCUAAUUCCAUAUUAUCCAUAUAGGUUGAACUCAACAUAUCAUAAACAUAAAAAAGAAAAAAAAAUCAUAAUCAAAAGCAAAAGCAAACUUGUACUAUAGUAAAGCUAGGACAAAUCAAAUCUAGUGGAAAUUAGAAGAAACCAACUUUGUUGAACUCACUAUGAUGAUUAUAUGAUUAAAGUUUUCAACUUUCUUAAUUUUUUGGCAUAUGUAAUUAAAGAAUAUAAAAAGGCAAACCUUUAGCUGCUACAAAUGCUGGUACAGCUAGGAGCUAAUUUAUAGUGAUUCAAUCAAUCACAAUGAUAUACAAUACCAUUCACCACCUCUACACCAAACAAGUACACCACAUAGAAUGAACACAUGCUAAUUCAUAGACAAUUUUUCCUUAGUUCAUAUUCAUCUCAUUAUAGUUACAAGUUAAAACAUCCUAGCAUUAACUUAAUUACCUCUUCUCCUCAUAGUGAAGGUGUAUGGAUAUAAACUUCCCGUCAACACCGUCCAAAAACAAAGCAACAAUCCAACAAAUAGCUCAAUCACCACCUGCAUUAAUCAUCAUUCCCAUAAACAUAUAUACAUAUAGAUACACCAUAACUGGAAAAUGCAUCUAGUUUCAAUUAAUGCCUAAUGAAUGGCACCUGCAUCCAGUUUCAGAAAAUGCCGGCGGUGAUGGAGUUACAAUGCCACAAAAGGUUGCAAAUCAGAGUGCCAAAGUGUUAUAGUGAGAGUGAUGAAAGUGAGAGGUUUCAAAGUUACUGAACUUCAAGGUUUUUGGCACCAAACAAUGAUUAAAACUUAAAAGAUCUCACAACAUCGAUUUUUUUUUAUAAAAAAACCGAUGCUAACGAAGUAACCUCAACAUUGGUUUUUCAAAAAACCGAUGUUGAGUUUUCUCUACGUUCUUCAGUAACAUCGAUUUUUGGCAAAACCAAUGUUAUCAAAACUCAUGUUAUUUAUAAGAUUGUCACCGUAUUUUUGUUAACAUCGAUUUUACGUAAAAUCGAUGUUAACUUAGCGAUGUUAAAGCCAUUAUUUGUAGUAGUGUUUUGUCAAACAACAUGAUAAUGUGAUAACAUUAGGGAUCUUUUGAAAGCUAUUGAUGAACAAUUCACUACAACUAACAAGUCCCUUAGCAGUGCACCUUUAGAAUGCAGUUUUCAUCCAUGAAACUCACUGGGAUAUGAGGUGUGAUGGUCACAUUAUGCACAUAAGGGAUAUAGUGGCUCAACAUAAAAGGUUUGGUGUAACACUUAGAUAUUUGUUUUCCUAUAUUAAAUAAAUAUAAGAUAUAUUGUGAAAAUGUUUUUAAUAAUAAAUAAAUAAAUGUUAUUUUGGAAAAAUAAAUGGGUUUAUGUUAAUAAAAAAAAGUUUUAUUAGAAUGUGUUUUAUGAGUUAACUUUUGGGUUUUGUCUCAUGGAUCAAACUUUUUCUUGUGAUUCUUAGUUAGUAUAUGUUCAGUCAUUACCAAUGAGAGAACAUGACAAAUUUUCCUCGUUUUAAAAAAAAAGCUUGAAACUUAAAUCUCUACCUUUCUCUCUCUAGAUUUUGGUGCAACUGUAGAGUCAAUGAAAGGAUCAUUGCAUGAAAUUUCAUUGCUAGAGUUGUGAAUUGGAAUCAGAAGGAGUGUUUCUUCUCUAUGUUUCUCUAUUAACAAUUUACUAAUUCCAAAUUUGAUUACCAAGAACCCUAAAUGACGCAAAAAGUGGAAAAAUACAAAAUUGUAAUCUCACUCCUCUAAUACCUAAAUAGAAGAGAAACACAGAGAAGAGACACUCCUUUUGACUCUAGCUCACAGCUCCAGUGGCAAAAUUUUGUGUGAUGAUCAUUUCAUCAUUGACUCUAUGAUGGCACCAAAAUCCAAAGAGAGAAAGGAAGAGGUUUAGGUUUCAAGCUCUUUUGGAAAAAGAGGAAAAAAAAUGUUUUGUCCUAUAUUGGCAAUUACUUAACGCACUAAUUAAGGGUUGGAGGAAAAAAGCUUAUGAGUCAUGAGAGAAAGCUUAAAACUUAACUCAUAAAACACAUUCUAAUUUUUUUAAAAUAAACUCAUUUUAUCUUUCCACAAUAGUAAUUUAAAAUAAUAUUUAUUUAUUUAAUUAUUAGAAAAAAAAAUCAAUUUAUCAUAUAUUUAUUUAAUGUAGGAAAACAAAUAUGAAGGUGUUACAUUUGGAGCUUAUCAUGUUAGAAUCUUUUUUGGUACACUACAUUUAUGCAUCCUAUCUCACUGGUAUGUCAUUUUCAAGAUCUCUAACAAUACACAUAAAUAUAAGUGAUCAAUUAAUGAAUUACUGAUCCUAUGUGUUCAAUAGGAGGAAAUAUUGAUAAUGCAAAAGGGUGAGAGGCUGAACUUGACUACUUCUGGAAAGAAUAAGAGUAAGCCAAUAUUAAGGACAAGAUUCUUGCUCAGCAAGUCAUAAAAAAAGACUCAGUGUUUUCUUUUAUAAAAAGGAGGCACACUUGAAGAAAACUACAUAAAGUUGGAAAAUUGACUUGAAAAGAAAGAUACUCUUUUGGUAUUUAUUUGUUUUGAAUCUAAUAUGGUUAGUGUCAAUAAUGACGCAUGGUGGGUUGAUUUUAAUUCAAUAAUCCAUUUUUACCCAAAAAAAUCAUGUUUCUAAUACCUUGUAGGAUAUGAAUAUCGAAGAAAACCAGUGGAAAAUGAAAAUUAAUUUCUUAGAAAAACAUGGAACAUAGAAUUUUUCUUAUUUUUCUUCUAAACUUAAAAUAAAACUACUACUUAAACCAAAUUUCACGUCCCAAUGGCUUCCACAUGUGAACUCGUAUUUACUCUUGAAUAAAUGUAUUGUUCAUUUCCCACGAGAUUUUUUCAAUUUUUCAUACCAUACAAGGUAUUAGAAACAUGAAUUAUUGAAUUAAAAUCAAUCCAUGGUGUGUCAAAAUUAGCACUAAGCAUACUAGAUUCAUAAAAAACAAAUGUAAAAUAUCUUUAUUGUCAACUCAGUUCUUAAACUUUAUACAAUCUUUCUUCAUGUGUGCUUUCUUGCAUAAGAAACACUUUAAUUCUUUCCUUAUUACAUGCUACUCAAUAAUCUUUCCCUUAUAAUUGGUCUGAUUAUUAUUACUCUUUUCUGAAGUAGUUAAGUUCACUUUUUCACCCUCUUCCAUUAUUGAUAUUUUCUCUUCUUGAACACACAUGGUUAGUAACUCAUAAGUUGACCACUUAUAUUUAUGUGUGUUGUAAGAGAUCUUGAAAAAAUGAGAUAGGGUGCAAAAAUGUAAUGUACCAAAAAAGAUUCUAACCUGGUAACCCCAAACCUUUCAAUUAAGUCACUAUAUACCUUAUGUUUAUGAUGUGAUCACACACUCACCUCUUAUUCCAAUGAGCUUCAAGAAUGAGAAUUGCAUUGUAAGAGUGUUUGUAAGAGACUUGUGAGAUGUAGUAAAUUGUUCAUCACUAUAGCCUUCAGGAGAUUAUUAACAUUAUUAUGUUGUUCGACGGAACCUUAGAUACUAGUAGAUAUCUUGGUCUUUGUGUAAAUCAUAGAGGUGAUUAGCCCUGUCACUUUUCAUAAAGAUCAACAUCUAGAGUGUUGGUUUGAUUAAUAUUUGUUGGUUCAUUCUUCCUAAUAACAUAAUAUAUGUCUAUCUAAUCUAAAUGAAGAAGAAUUUUGUCUAUCUAGUCUAAAUGAAGAAUUUUUCUUUCCUUCCAGACAUUAUAAUUAUCACCUCAUAAUUAGGGAUUACCACACUUAAUAUCUAGUCCAGAAUUUCAUACUCGUUAUUCAUAAUUUGAGACCAAAAUGUCAUGGUUACCAAUAUAAAUUAUGCUUUACUUUAUGAAUCUAGAAACAUAAAAUUUUGGAUUAAAGUCUUAUUCAAUUAGACUCAUUAUAUAUUUUAUAACAAAAUUAUCAAAUUAUGUUCCUUUUCUUGAUUCCUAUUGCUAGAUGAAUAUGUGUUCAUCCAAGAAAAGAUGGGACACAAAUGAUAACAAAUUAAGGAGAUUUUGACAUAUAUAAAGAAGGCUCUAUGAGGUAUUGACGAGUUGAAUAGAUUGUUGGGUUUGUUGUUUGAUGAAGAGGAUGAGAGGAAAACUAAAAAUGACAUUUUAGAUUUAGUUAAGAUGGUUCUCAAGGUAAAUAACAUCUACCGCAGUGUCCUAUCUUUAUUUUUCUUUCCCUAUUGUCCAUACUUAGUUAGAUUUUUAAUAAAGAAUUUGAGGAAUUGGCUAUCUACAGCAGUGUCAUUUUCACUCUCUUGUUACUGACUUCAGUCAGUUCAGUGGUUAUUGGUGAUAUUUUGCGUUUCUGCCUGCUAAGAUCGUGAUUCUAUUAUUUCCAAAAUAUUUCAUUGUUGUUGCUUACUGUGUGUCUCGUUGAUUCUAUUUUUGAGAAAGUUUUACUCGUGUCCAAACAAUGGUAUGAAUAAGAUAGAUUUUCCCGUAACGAAUAAAAAAUUCGUAAAAGACAAUUUUUUCUUAUUAAAUUAUAAUUUUAGUCUUUUUUAAAAAAUUUGUGAUUAUGAUCCUUAUAAAAUUUUACUAUAACAUUUAAUCUCUUAAUUUUUAAACUUGUGUAAUUUUGAUUCUUUUAUCAAUUUUUCUAUCUUGACUGUUAUAUUAUUGACGUUGACGGUCUAUUUUGAUGACUUAUUUCUAAUAUGUGUGAUUAUGGUUUAUUUUAAUUAAAUUAAGUAAAAAUAAUAAUAAAAGAAAUUGUGUUAAAUUGAAGAGAUUUGACAGCUCAAGAACUCCCCCCUCACCACGCUUAGCUUUAUCCAUUCAUUUGUUAUCAUCUUCAUCAUUUUCUUUUUCGUCUCCGCUGAUGAAGCUUCCAAAAUCUUCAUCUUCUGCAUGGAUUAACGUGUUUCCUGGCUUACUUAGUUGGUGUCGCAAAUGAUAUUGGAAUUCCUUUAACUUUUUUAAAAAAUGUUUUUGACUUAAUUAAUUAAAAUUAAACAAUAAUCAUAUUUUUAUUUUAAUAAACUCAUCUUCAACGUUCCAAGUCAUCUUGAUAGACAGUCAACACCAAUAAUAUAACAGUCAACGCAUAAAAAUAAAAAUUAACGGAAGGAUGAAAAUCAUAAAAUUAAAAAUAAGAAAAUUAAAUAUUGCGAUAAAAUUUUAGAAAAUUAAAAUCAGAAAUUUAGAAGAACGAGAGAAUCAAAUUACAUUUAUUUAUUUUUAUCUUGGAACCCACACCUAAUAAUGAUUCAAUGACAUGAUGUAUGCAUUUAUCAUCUGUAUUCUAGUGCACCCUAUUAUUGUGAUUGUGGACAUAUGGAGUAAUAUUUGCGUGGGGGUUUAUGCACUAUGCAGGAUGUUAUUCUUAGGAACCAAAGAGAUGUGAGCAUAAAACAUUUUAAGUAGACAGUCCACACAAAAAUUAGUUUUUUUUUAUUGAUACGAAGGAUAUUUUUUUAAUAUGAUUUAUUUUAUAUCUAAAAUCACAAUUUGAACCCAAACUAUUUGAUUGAAUCACAUUAGUUUUUCAAUCUGAUUUUAGAUAAUUUAACAAGAAAUAAACAAGUAUAUGAUUAUUAUGUUUUAUAUAGAACAUGAAACGUACUUUUAAUAUUUCUUAUACAUACUUCCAGAUUCUCCAAAAAAAAUAAAUUAUUACUAUAUAAAAAAUAAAAAACUUUUUGGCUUCCCAAUGGACUAAAGUAGUUUGUUGCUGGAUGGAUGACGAUAAUUGGUUAUCACGAUAUACACAAAAAGUUAAAUAACACUUAUAACUGUGGCUCAGGCGGCCAACAAGGCUUAUUUUUUAAAAGUUAUUUUGUUUUCAUAAUAUAUUUUAUAGUAUUUUUUAUUAUCUAUCUUAUCAUUUUUUUUAUUUUACAAUUCUUUUUUCUUCUCUUUUUAAUCAUUUUGUUAAAGAGAUUUUGAAAAACGUAUGGGGCAUUGGCCCCCUGAUUUUUUUUUCCUGAAUAUUAAAAUCAAUGUAUGAAUGUGUGACAGUGUGAGUGUAAAAAAAAUGAAAGAGUAGGGUGCGCUUAACAAAAAUAGUGUAAAUACUAAUAGCGUGACUAUUGCGUAAAUAGCUUAUGUGCAGGUGUUAAAGGAGAAUUUUGAUUUUAGGUUAAAAAACUAUAAAUCAAUAAAUAAGAAUUUAACUUUUAGGACUAAUGAUACUAAAUCAAAGGGUUUUUUGUUUUCAAACUAAGUAAUUGUUUAGAUUUUUAAUUUUAUAAAUAGUGUAUUUCUUAGAAAUUUAUAAUAAGAACAAAUUUUAUAAUGGGUACGAAACAUGUACUAUGGUUAUAGUAGUUGAUUUUCACAAAUAUAAGCACUUUUGGUAUAUAAAUAUAAAAUAACACUUGAAUUAGCAACACUUACGAAUACAAUGGUAUAUUUGUAAUAAGACCAUAUUGUAAAACAUGCAUGCAUAUAUAAUUAAAAGUAGUAAAGAAUGAGUUAUAUAUAGACAGAGAAAGAAGUUAUAGAAAGAAAAAAGAAAUUAUUGAAAGAAGGACAUGUCAUAUAAAGGAUUACUUUACUAAAGAGAAAAAAAAAAUAGAUAAGAAGUACAUGUUUUCAUAACUGAAAGUCAUGAGCGUGAUAGAGUUUGAUGUACAAGAAAUAUGUAAAUGUUUGUAAUCGAAUAAAAAUAAUACAUUUUUGCCUAUUUGUAAAAAAUACAAAUAACCAGUCUUCGAAAUAACAUGUGUUUUCAAACAUUAGUUGACUCUUUAUAUACUUUUAAAUGUUAUAAAAACAUGUAUAUUCUUGACCAUUUUUUCUCUCUUUACUAGAGUAAUAAUCCUUUUAAUGACAUCUUCUUUCAAUAACUCUUUCUUCUUUUUAUAACUCAUUUUUUUGUCUAUAGCUCAUUUUUUACUGCUUUUAAUUAUGCAUGUUUUACAAUACGGUGUUACUAAAAUAUACUAAUAUAUUUGUAAAUGUUGUUAAUCCUAGUGUUAUUUUAUAUGUAUACAAAAAGUGCUUACAUUUGUGAAAAUCAACUACUAUACCCAUAGUAUACUCAUUUUGUUAGUACUCACUAUAAAGUUUGUUCUUAUUAUAUGUUUCUAAGAAAUAAGCUUUGUUAAAUUGAAAAUCUAUACGAUUGCUAGUUUAAAAACAAAGAACCUUAAAAGUGUUUUGGUUUAGUAUUAUUAGUCCUAAAAAUCAAAUUCUUUUUUAUUGAUUUAUAGUUUUCAAACUUAAUACCAAAAUUCUCAAUCAACCGUAGGUGUUUCCUUGUGCGUAAAUUACUUAUGGGAACUAGGAGAAGAUUGUCAAUUUGGUUGUUUAAAUAUCUUUGUUUUUUUAUUUAAAGUUGUAAACUAUCAUAUGAAUAAGAAAAUCUUUUUUUUUUCAGAAAUUUUAUUUAAAUAUUAUAUUUUAUUAAAUUUUAGUCACUACUUACUAUACAAUCAAUGUUUAUCCUUGGCUUUUUUUAAUUAUAAAAUUUAUAGUAAUUUUAUCUUCUUUUUAAAAGAAAUUUUAUCUUAAGAUUAUAUUUUAUUUGUUUUACUUAUUAUAUAAUUUUUUUUAUCUCUUGACUUUUUUCUAAAUUAUAAAAUCAAUAAUAAUUUUAUAUUUUCUGAAAAAAAUAUGUAAAUAUUAUAUUUUUUAAUCAAAUUUUAGUUAUUAUACAAUUAAUUUUUAUCGCCUCACAUUUUAAAUUAUAAAAUCAAUAGUAAUUUUAAAAAAAUUAUUUGAAUAUUAUAUUUGAUUAAUUCUAGUUAUUAUAUAAUUAAUAAUUAUUUUUCUUGAGCUUUGUUAAUUUAUAACUACUAAUCUUUAUAUGAUCAAGUUUACUUAUAGAAAACUAUUAUAAUUUUCAAAUUCUUGAAGGCCCAUCAGCCCAAGACAUUAUAAUUUUUAUUGUUAUAAUUAACGUUUUGGAACAUCAAUUUAUGAAUAUUUUUCAUGAUGUAUAUAUUAGAUGAAUUUUAUUUUAUUAUUGGUCUCUCUUGUCAUUUAAGUUUCGGUCUACCUCUAGUGGUGAGAGACCUGACAUAGAUUUCUUUAGAUUAAUUUCAUACUCGAUCUAAAUGAAAGAAGUUUGUUAAGACAUCUCAAGAUUCUAUCUUAGAAUCAAUGGUCUUAAUUACAAUAGUUGAAAAAAAUAGAGUUGUGAAAAACAUGAGUAAGGAUUUUUUUUUAAAAAUAUAAGUGGAAAAUAAUAUUUUUUUAAAAAAAAAAACUUAUAUGUGAAGUACAUAGUUAAGAAAGUAUUUAUUUUUAUUUAAAUUAAAUAUAUUAUUAUAAUUCUUAAAAAUUGUAAAAUAAAAUAUUUUAUCUUGUAUUAUUUACAAAUAAACUCAUUUUAAAAUUUAUAUUUAUAAAGUCGUAAAAUCAUAAUCAUUUUAGUAAUCUCAAGUUUAAUUUGCAUUUUUUCCUUAUAGUUUGAGAUUCUCACUGUUCAAAUAUUACUUCGAAUCUGAAUCAAUUUGAGAUGAGAUGAAUAUUUUUUAAAUGAGAUUAAUAUGCCAACUUAAGUAGAUAAAACUGUUUCAAUGUAUUCAACAACAAAAAAAAUCUUUCAAUGUGUAUUGUUUUAUUCAUCAAAUUCAACUCUUAAGACAUGAUUUUUCUUUAAAAAAAAUCAAGGUCUUUAAAAUAUUACUUGCCAAUAAAUAUCUACUAGUUAAAUUACAGUUUUUUCCAAUUCUCUCUCUUCUUAAUUAUAGCUUCUUCAUUAUGAAUUUCUUAACAUAGUGUUUAAUUGCAAAAAAAUAGAGAGGGAUAGAUUUUUUUUAAUUUUCUCGUUUGAUUCAGAAAUUUAUAUGAAAGGGGGUAAGAAUGAUGAGUCAAAAUCUGGUUAAGAAAGUUUAACUCAAUUGUUAAACAUGAUAAUGAGUUUUUAUAAUACUAUUGAUAUUUGUUUUUUAUACUUACGGAUUAAAAAAAAUCUUAUCUAGCUUUCAUAUUUUUACAUCCCCUCAAUAUUAUUGAAAUAAUUUAGAUAGAAGGAAAAUGAUUUAUAAUAUUUAAAACAUGUUGAUAGAAUUAGCUUAAGAUGUUAUUUUUUACGGUUAUUAAUUUUAUAAAAUAUAAUAUGUUACUUUUCAUUUUCCUUUCAUCGUCUUAUAAACCAAAUAAGGAAAAUAAGAAUGACAGUGUACAAAGCCAUACCACAUGGUAACGUAUAAAAAAGAAGUUCCCUUAUAACAAUGCCUAUAAUAUUAGAGCCGUGAUUUUGUUCAACAUAUCAAAGUCCUCUUAAAAUUUCUUUAAUAACAAUACAUAGGUUAUCUUUUCUAGCCGUUAUUGCUUGAUUCCAAAAUAUUAAACAUUAUCCAUCUAUAUCAACAUUCUAAAGAAUUUUAAUGUGUAGCCAGAAUAUGUGGUUAUACUUUGAAUAGUGAUCGAUAGGUCGUAUUCAUCUUUUAAGUUGGAACAAAUAUACCUUUAUAAAUUUCUUGGCACAUGAUGAAGAUAUUAAAUUUCUAGAAUAUGGCCCUGGGACAAACAUUAAUUUCUUUGGAUAUUUAAUUUUUCAAAUUCUGAAUUUUUGUCAGGCUAAUUUAGCUCCACGAAAGGCUUCUGUAGCAAAAUCAAAGACCUUAAAUGUCAUCACAUAGUUAGUCAAUUAUUCAACAUUAAUGCACAGAUUCCUAAGAAGUUGAACAAUUUUUAGCCUUCCAAUUUGCAAUACAUAUCUGGUACUACUAUCUGGGACAUUGACCUAUGCCGCUAAAAACAUUAUUGUAGCUUGCAUGGACAGCCUCAUUUAAGAGGUGGUUUAGAAUUUAUUUCAGAAGAUAAAAUUCAUUGGUUCUCAUAUAUAGGUGUCGCUUUCGUUAGUUGCAUGUCACUGUAACGACAUUCUAUUCUUGAAUCUUGAAGGUUCUCUAUUGAAUAGCUGUGUGAUCAAUAAAGCUCGCAAUUAAUUAGUAGUAUUCCCCAUAUCAUCAAUGGAAAGAAUUAAUAGUGAGCAUGCAAUGUAACACCAUCAUAUAAUUCAAAUGAGCCCCUAGCAUGAAUUUUGCAUUAUUGAUUACAAAAUAGAAGAAGAAAUUACUAGCAUAUAUAUACUAGCAUAUAUAUAGCUUGUUUCAGUGUAGCAGCUUUAGUGAAGAAGACUGAAGUGCUAAAUAAGAUAAAUGCAUAUUGUGCCUGUACUUUUUCCAUGUAAAAUAUUUCAUUGUAUAAUUAAAGAGUAAUUGUUGAGGAUCUCAUGUGUUAAUUAACUAGUGAUAUAUAUAGCCAAAAUAAUGUAUAUAUAUAAAGAAUAAUCAUUUCUGACACAUAAGCUAACUUUUUUGAAAUUGAGUUAUACAAAAUUUCUAUGAGUACGUUGCGGGGUUUGCUAUAACUUUAUGGUUUUCUUUUGUUUGUUGGAAUUGAAUGUACUAUUUCAAAUAUAGCCGACAAUUUCACAGUAAGAAAUUUGGCAAGGUAUACUGUUUUUCUUUUACAGGUGGCCCUUUAGAAAAAUAUCUUAAAAAGUAAAAAGGAAAAAGUGUUUGCAUUUAUGCUAAAUGAACUUUCUGGACAUGAUUCUAAUCCUAGGAUCACCAGAUCCAACAAAAUGCAUAAAAACUUUCACAUCCCUUUCUUUUUAUGAGACCAAAAGCACGACUACAAAAAACAUCCAUUUUCUUCAUCACUUUCUCUUAACCAGAAACUGCAAAAUCGGAAUGAAAAAAAAAAAUAUAUGAUAUCAAUCAAAAGCCAACAGAAAAAUACAGCAAGAUUACUAAAAGGGAUAUGGUAGUAUAGUAGUACACAAGAGACACCUUAACCCUACUUUUGACGUGGGAAUUUUAAGCCCAUAAGAUGCACACUUUGCUUUUUUUCUCUCACUUUUUCCAUAUACUCAAACUUAACAUAAUUGAACAAGUUCCAAAACCAAAAAAUAUCUCAAACUAGUGCUAAAUGUAAAGUAGUUUUGAGGCAUGUGGUGAGUGAGAGUGCUGCAGUGGUGAUGGUGUGGCAUAAGCAUGAUGAUGAUGUUGUCCAUGUUUUGCACCAAAAUUUCCCAGUUUUGUCUCUGAAGGAAACCUUGCCACCUGAGAGGAACUAUUAGUUCUGCUCCUAAGUUUUGGUGUAGAACUUGGAUUCUCAUAUGUUAUAUAAGCAUCACCAGCAACUCUAACAGAUUUGUGGUUCUUGCAACCCAACAACAUGCUAGGGCGCCUAAUUCUCUGAACUUCUUUGGUGGUAGAUUUUGCUUUUCCAUUAGCAAAUGUUGUUUUAGUUGUUGUUCUUAUUGGACUUCUUAUGGUUACCUCAGACAUCUGUUCUUCACAGUCUGACAUAACUGCAGCACUGGCAGUGGCCACACUCCACUCUAUGCUAGCCUCACUUGGUGCGUAGCCAUUUGUGGGGCUCACACAGCUUGAAGCAGCAGCAUCUGAUGUUUGCCUUGCAAGAAAAGGGUUGGUUUUGCUCUUUAUGCUCUCAAUCUCAAACAAGUCUGAACUUGCAUCACUAGCAGCAUCAUUGAUGUAGUUUGAGUGAUCAAUUUCCUCCAAUAAUAGUCUAGGAGUGCCAUCUCUUGAUGAGGCCAUUGCAAACCUUGUUGUGGUUCUAUCAAAGCUCAAUGACUUGAGCUUGUUUUUCAGUAUUGUUGGGGAGCCAAACACCUCUAUUGAGUUUCUUGGCUUCUCAGCUUCUACUACUUCAUCUAGUUGUUGUUGUUGCAUUUUUGUGACAAGAAUAUGGUUUUGGUUUCCUGAGGCAGAACUCAAGGAUGAGAAUGCCAAGCUGCUUUUUUGCCUAUUCCCAAAAGUACCCUCUUGCGUUUGGAAGUAAACAUUGUUGAUUUUCAAGAGUUCUGCAUUAGGCUUGCUUAUUUUGAUUGAAUGGCUAGCAUCAAGAGCAGCAAUAUCCACAAGCUUUCUUCUAGUUUUUUUGUCAUGAACUGCACCAUAAGUGGCAGGUUUGCUGAAACUGAUUUCACCUGCAUCAACAGAAUCCUUGUCAGAACAAGAGCAUUUGAAGCUAAGGCCAGCUAGCACACUCUUGGCUUGAUGACCCUUCUUGUUGUUGUCCUUUUUGUUUCUUAAAGAAUUCCUCAUCAUCAUUCCACUUUGAAGUAGUGCACUUUGGCUGUUGCAAGUUGUUGAUUCAGAUCGAAUGCUUGGAGUUCCAUAAGGAAGUCCGUGCUUUCUAGUUGCUAUUAUAGCCAUUGGUUCAUCUCUCUGGCGGUGCAGGUACUUUGGAGUGGCUAUGCUGCUGGUGGUAGAUCUUGGGGUCUCAACUUCCACAUUGAAGUAUUUUUCAGCACCAAACACUCCUAUUUCUCCAUUUUCUUCUUUCUUUUCUAGCUUUUGAAGAGGGGACUUCAAAGGGUUAAGCUUUUGGCUUGGUUCACCAAGCCUUCCUACAAUAGUGGUCCCUUCAUUGUUGCCAUUCAAAUAUGGAGAGAAAGUGGCAUCAUAGAGGUGAUUAUUGUUGCUGUCAUCAUAGUUGAAAGUAUGCAACUGAUGAUAGAAGUUGCUGUUGGUUGUGGAUGAUAUGGUAUUAACCAUAGUUGAAGGAAAUCAAAUUUGUUGGUAAAAGCCAAAAGAGAAAAAUAUAGCCAAAUUGGAGAUAGCUAGGUUAAUAGAAUAGGCAAGAGGAACAAAUUAUAGGCAAAAUAAAAAUGAAGGAAAAGACCAACAACACAUGGGAAUAAAACAAUUGAUGAUUAAGUGAAAGUUAGCAUAAAAAGGGCUUAAAAAAUAUGGAACAAUUCCCUAGGUGCUUGAGGAUCAAGGUUGAGAGAGGAAAAGAAAAUGGAUGAAAAGCGAUAGUGUGAGAUGAAGGGUUGAAUAUGCAAAAUGGAUGCCUUUCCAAUUUAGGAGUGGCUCUAUUUGUAGGAAAGUGGAAUAUGCAAAAUGUCACGUAGUAGGGUCAUGUGUUAGUAGCUGACCUGUCACUUCAGCCAUAGUUUUCACGCGGAAAUUACUUUCAAUUCAGACACAACUAUUUUUUUAUUGGAGAAAAAAGAAUAUAUAUAUAUAUAUAUAUAUAUAUAUAUAUAUAUAUAUAUAUAUAUAUAUAUAUAUAUAAAGGGAUUGGAAGAGAAAAGAAUGUUAAGAUAAGUAUCUAACUGAGAGAAAUAAAAUAAAUAUUAUAAGAAAUAUUUUGUGGAUUAUAAUUAGUUUAGUUCGUUAAAUAACAUAGAAAGCAAAUAAUAUUAAUUAACAUCUAGGAGGCUAUUUGUUUUCAUGGAAAAUCAUUUUUAUUUUUAAAGAAAUAGCUUUCAAAAAAUUUAGUGCGCUAAAUAUUUUCAAAAUAAUCAAACAAAAAAAUCAAAUUUCUGAUUAUAUUGAGAAAUAUUUUAUUUUGCUAAAAAUGUAUAAUUGUAGCUAAUUUUCAAAUUAAAUAAAAAAAAUACUUUCAACAAUUAUAAUCAAACAAAAAUAUCUUUCACUUUAAUAUAAUUUUAAAAACUAAAUAACUUUCCAAACAUAAUUAAAAAAAAUUAAGUUUAAACAAAUAAGUCUUUUAUUUCUUAUAAAAAUUAUACUAUUUUUAUUCAUAAUUUUAAUAAUAAAUUUUAGAAUUUAUUUUUUAUUUUCCUAUCAUAUUAUUUAUCUUAUUUUAUACUUCCCUUCGUUUUCUAUUUAUCUUAACUGUAAAAAAAAAUCUGUUAAAAAAACUGUAAAACAAAUUAUACAAAAUUAAAGUUUCGUUGAAGUAGGAUAUUUCUCUUCUUAAUGAUUUGUCUCUUUACGGGAGAAAAUAAGGAUAACAACUAUUGAAUAGAAACUGAUCAAUACCCACUCUGAUCACCUAAUUUGUACUCCCAUCACCUUAAUUGUACUGAUUUUUCCUUUUCGUUGUUGGAAAAUAGUGCAAGGCUGUAAGGGAUUACUUCAUUCUACAUGUUUUUCAAGGACAUUUUUUUUAUCAUCAUAGCCAAUCUUACUCAAAACAGAUAAAACUAUUAUAAAUAAAAAAACUUCAUUUCAAAACCAUCAACUAAGGAUCCGUUUAGAGUGCUUUUUAGUUUUGAGUUUCAAAAUUUUAAAAAUUAAUAUUCAAUUUUUAGUUUGUUUCAAAAAAUAAUUAAACCAAAUCUAAAAAAUAUGAUUAAUUUUAAAUAAACUCAUUUUAAAAGUUUCUUAUCAUAUUAAAAUUAGUUUAAAAGUAUUUUUAGAUAGUGAUGAUAAGUGUAAUGAUGGUAAUGUCAGUAACAACGAUAGAAAUAUAAGUGGUGAUCACAAUUGUAGUGACAUUGGUGGUGGUGGUGAUUCAGGAGGUGCUGCAAUGACAAUAUAGUGGUGACAACAUUGAUGGUGGUUGAGGUGGUAUUAGUGGUAAUGAUGGUGGUGACGACAGUGACCAUGGUGAGGUGGUGGUGGUAAUGUGGUGGUGUGGUAGUGAUGGAGGUGGUAUUAUUAGUGGUGGUGACAAUGACGGUGAUAAUGACAUUGAUGCCGAUGGUGGUGGUGGUGGUGGCACUAAGUGAUGUUGGUAUGGUUGUGACGACAUUGAUGAUGAUUGUAAUGACGAUGACAAUAAUGAUGACAAAGGUGGUGGUGAUAAUGAUUCGUGACACUAAUGAUUGUGGUAGUGAAAGCAAUGUUGGUGAUGAUGUUGGUGGCGAUGGUGGUGGUAGUGAUGUUAGUAGUCAUGGUGGUGACAACCAAUUAUGAUGGUGACAAUGAUGGUGAUGACAACAAUGAUGUGAUGGUGAUAUUGAGGAAGUGAUACUAGUAGUAAUGGUAGAGGCAGUGAUAGCAACACAAAAUAUUAUUGUCAAAUGUGUGUUUUUCUAAACUAAAUGUGUAUUAUAUUUAAUUUUAUUUCUUACUUUUUUUCUUUCUAUAUAUCUCUAAUUUAUUUAAAUUUUUAUUAUUUUAAAACAAUCUUAAUUAUAAUUUAAUUUAACAACUUGGGAAAAAAAAAUUCUUCCUUACUAUCUCAAAACACUCUACUUUAAAAAAUUAAAAAAAAUUAUCUUUCUUUUGUGAGUGAAUAACUUUUUUUAUCUUAUUCGUUUAUCUCCUUUAAUUUAUUAUUAAAUUGAAUUUCAAUAUUUUUUAAAAUAAAUUAUAAAAUAGUUUUAAAAUAUAUUAAAAUAAUAGUAGUUAAAAUUAUGAGUUGUGUAAAUUAAAUAGCUGAAUCAUUCUCACACCUAAACAUGCAAUAAAUUUACUUUAAGGUGAUGUUCGGAGAAUUUUUUUUUCAUGAACACUUAUAAAAAAAGAAAUUAAUGUAGUCAAAUAAAUUAAACUUUUUUACAAAUUGAAAUUAACUUAUAUGUCUUGGCGUUUUCUUUUUGUAUUGAUAUAUCUAAGCUUUUAAAGAAGUUAAUUAGGCGAGGAAACUUUUAUAAAAAUUAAAAUAUAUAAGUUAUUUUUAACUUACACGAAAAGAUCAAAUUAUUCUAUUUUCUUAUAUAUUUAUGAAAAAAAAAUCAAAGAAGACCUGAAUAAUUCUUUCUUUCUUUGAAAAAAAAAUGUUUUUUGGUUAUAUUAGUAGUAAUUAGAAUGCGAACAAAGUAUGAGCUGGCUGCUAGCAAUACACCAACAACUCAUAUAUUUUUUAUGCAUGGAAUGCCAAAAGCCACAAAAUAUUUGGUAACAAUGAAUAGACAAAGUUUGUGGCUGGGAUCCUUACACGAUCUCUUUUUAAUCAUUUGAAUUAAAAGCCAAAAAAUUCACUUCAGGACUACAUGAAUAUCUCCACCUUAACGAACAUAUUAGAAUCCUUAUUAUUUGGAAAGAUAAAUUAACUCCAAUUAAUUCUUCGAGUUAGAGGAAGUAAAAUUAUGUCUGUGUCAUUUUUUUUUCAUAAGAUAAAAUUCAAGACGUUCCUAACAAAGAAAAACAAAUUAAAUCUUAAUCGAUCGCUUAAGUCAGCAAACAUCAACAUUAUAUUAUUUAUUUGAUUAAUAGAUAUGUUGUACACUUAAUAUUGACUAGUUUAACAAUGAUAAAUAAAUAAGUUUUUUUCUUAAAUUCUAAAUAUAAUUAAAAUUAAUCAUUAAUUAGAGGAAUGAGUCUUGGGUUAUGUUUGACAAAAUAUUUCAACUAAUUGAAAGGUUUAUUUAGUUGCUCGGAAAAUUCUUUUUUUUUUAAUAAUUUAGUAUUUUUUUUAAAUGUUAACUUCUAAUUUUUUAUAUUUUCUUUUUUAUCUAUAAUAUAUUUAUUGAAUUUUCUAAUCAUAUUUUUAAAUAAAUCAUGAUUUUAUUUCUUUUUUUGACAUUUUACGUUUUCCAGUUAUUUCAACUAAUUUUUACUGAACAAUUAUACUUUAAUUAGUUAAUUUUUCAACUAUCAGCUUCUAAUCUUUAACUAGUUUUUUAACUAGUUUUACUGAACAUGACCUUAGAAAAAAAGUAUCAAAGAGAGUAUCACUAACAUUUUUCAAUUAAUUAAUCACAUAGUAUAUGUCUAAAUUUAAGACAACUAGUAAUUAAAGGAGAGAAAAAAUGAGUAUUAUUUAACUACUACUCAAACUUUACAUUUUUAAAAAUAAACCCUAAAAUUCAUUUCAUCCUAUCUAAUCCUUAAAUUACAAACAUUCAUCUGAUAGUACAUCUAUAACAUUGUCCAUCAAUCUUGGCCUCCUAGGGUGUAUAGUUAGACUCAUUUAAGUCUCUUCAGCUUAAAGGGGACUACAUCAAGGGGAUCCAUUGGCUCAUUUUCUUUUCUUGGUUGUGACGGAAGGAUUGAAUGACUUGAUGAGAGAAGCUAAAGGGAGGAACUUUGUUUGGGAUAUUUGGUUGGCAACAAUGAGUGUGAAAUUAGUCUGUUAUAAUAUUUAAAUAAGUCAAUAACAUAAUCUUUGUUGGAGAUGUGAAUGAGAAAUUUGCUCAAAUUAGUCCAUUUUUUUACAAUUUUUACUAUUAAAGUUGUUUUUAUAUUGUUUGAACUAAUCUUCAAACUAAGGAUGAACUUUCACAAGAGUAGCUUUGGGACGAUUGGAGUGGACAGAGGUGUGGUGGAGAGGUAUGCUAGCAUGUUGAAUUGUAGAAUUCUUUCUAUCCCUUUUGUUUAAUUAGGAUUACCCAUUGAGGCUAACCCUAAGAAAAUGGGGAUGUGAUAACAUGUUAUUUAUAAAUUUGAAAUAUUGGCUAUUUGGAAACACAAACACGUAUCUUUUGUAGGGAGGGUGUGUCUUAUAAAUUCAAACAUACCUUCUUUAUCCUUUUUUAUCUUUCUUUCUUCAAAAUUCCUAAGGAAGUUUGUUCGUAACUUGUGGGGAUUCAAAGGAGAUUUUUGUGGGACAAGUAUGACGAUAACAAAAAAAUUGCAUGGGUGAAGUGGGAGAAUAAUUGUCAAUGGAAGAAGUUGGGAGUCCUAGGAGUGAAAGAUAUUUUGUUGUUUAAUAAAGCUCUUUUGGGCAAGUGGCUCUUCUUUGGGGAGUAUGUGGUAGAGAGAUUUGAAAAAGAUGUGUGUGGGAUUCACUAAAGAAAAUUGGUUUGAUAGAGGGAUCCAAUGGAAAGUUUGUGUGGGGUAUAAGAUUAAAUUUUGGGUAGAUGAGUGGGUGGAGAGGGAAUGCUUGACACUUAUUUUCAAGAUUAUUCCUCAUUUUGAAACAAAAGAAGGAGGUUGUCGGGAAUAUGGAGUUUUGGAGGAAAAAUUGUUGGUAUUGGGAUUUGGGGUGGAGAAGAGAUACUUUUAAGUGGGAGGGUGAGCUUAUUUUAAAACUAAAACUUCUUUUGCAAAUGUAAAGUUCACAAAGAGGAAAUUGACUUUGGAUUUGGUUGGAUAGCCCAUCGGGUGAGUAUUCUUCAAAAUCAGUUUACUUAUCACAUUCCAAGUAGAUGGAUCAAUGGAUACAAAUAACAUUUUUGUGGAGGUAUGGCGGUUGAAGAUUCAAAACAAAGUUGUGUGUCUAAUAAGGAGAGCUUUCAAGGAUAAUUACCUACUAAAGACAACUUUAUGUCCUCUUUGCCAUCAACCGGGUGAAUCCCUAUACCAUAUUUUCUUAUAUAAUGUUGUCAUGAAGGUUUGGUACGAAUGUUAUAGGCGAAUCUCUCUAGAUUUUGUUAUUGUUAUACACGAUUUGCUAUAUCACCAUUUGUUAUUAUCUGUCACAAUUAUUAUCUCUAUCAUCAAAUAACCACUUGUCAUCGCCACCAUUGUUCAUUAACAGUUAUUGUUAGAAUAAUUGAUAUCAUUGUCAUCACGAUUGACUAUCGCCACCACUAUGAUUACUACCAUGAGUCAUCUUUGUCAUUAUAACUAUCAUUGUAUUUUCUUGUGUUGUCACUCCACAUCCAUUGUGGCCAAUUAACUAUAAUAAUCAUUAUAUUAACUAACCCAACUAAAAAAGAUGUAGCCACUAGUGAGUGAUUUGUAUAGUUUAGAUUUAAACUUUAUUAGUAUUAAAACUUGAAAACAAAAACUCAAAAUUGAUUAAAUUCAUAUUUAUUCAUCCGUUUUCGCCUCAUUUUUUUUUUCAGUUUUUUAUAUCUAGUUUGAUUUUGAUGGACUAAUAAUCUUCCCUACAAUGAAAAGAGUAGGAAUGCGAAAAAACUGAAGAUCCAUUCAUGCUUAACUCGAAUUUUGAAGUAGUUUAAGUUCAUAUAGUUUUUUUAAUUUAAAUCAACGAUGUUAAAUCUUUAUUUUCUCACUUAUUCGGUUGGAGAAGUUAAGUCUGGAAUUGAAACCACUAAAAGCAAAUAUGUUCGAUGCCAGAAGCAAAUAUAUUAAUUACCUGGAACUCAAGCAUUCACCCCAAUGAGACAACAAAUGUUGACAAAUCCACAUUGUUUGUUUUGUCACAUUCUAAGCAAAAAUCAAAUCAAGGGAGGAAAAGAAAGAGGUUUUGCCUACCAAGAAAAGGUGGUUGGUCCUUCAUUUAAAUAAACCAUGUUUAAGCAUAAACUAGACAAGUUUGCGAGCUGCUUGAUUUGUUAUUAGCUAGCAACUAUAAAUUAAACACCUAGUGGUGGGUUCCUUCGUUUAAAUAAAAAUUCAAAUGGUGGUGGUGGGGUUCAUGAUAUAGUUUCCAAUUACUUUAUUCAAACUGUGGUAGGGCGAUUGUAAAGUAAGUAAUGAAUGUGAUUUGACGUGUGAUAGAAAAUAAGUUGAUAACAAAGUUGACAAAUUUGUGACACAUGAUAUAUUUAUUAGCAUAGCACAUCAUGCCUAAACCUAAACUAGUACAAAUUCAAGUGUGGUUUAUUAGAUAAGUGUUGUUUGUUAACUACUGAGCUUUAACUUAAAUCUAGAAUUAAUUUCCCUUUCAUAUCUAAUUAAGCAUUUAUUUCUUAGUGUUGUAAACCCUUGAUAUUGUGCUCAAUUUAUUCUGUAUGCAUAUAUAGAUUUGAACACAGCACGAGGAGUUUUUACAACAACAGUCACUUAGCAUGUUCAUCAACUACUUAUACUUUGCUUACAAGUAUAAACUAAUUAUAAUAUUUUCUUAUUUUUUUAUAACUUCAUAAAAAAUAUUGGAUCUAAUAUAAAAGUGUAUGGCUAAUAAUUUUUUAUUAGAACAAUAUUAGAAUACCUUUUGUACAUAAUUAAAAUAAUAAGUAUAAAAAAAAUAAAAGUACUAAUAUUUUUAACUGAAAACAUGUAUUUAUGUAUGUACUUAAAACUUAAUGAAUAUAGCAUUUUUAUUAAUAUUUUUUAUGCUUAUUAAGCAUUUAUUUAAGUAUUAACGAUUUUAUAUUAUGAAUAUAAAUGUAUUAUAAUAACUAAAAUAUUUUUUCUAUAAUUAAAUUAAAAGUAAUGUAAUAUAAUCAUAAUAUUAUAUCGUGAAACGUGUACUUUAAAAGCACGCAUUAAUCUUUUUCUUUUUUUAUCAGUGACUUUUGAACAAAAUAAUAUUUAAUUAAAUUAUUUUUAUCUUUUAAAAAUAUUAUUGUAAAAUAAUUUAGAUGCUUAUAAACAUUUUAUUUUUUGUAUUUAGUAAAUUAUUUGUAAUUAAAAAUUAUAAUUUUUAUUAAUUAAAUAAGUUCAUGUCAUAUAUAAUAAAAAGAAGAAACACGAAAAAGGAAAAAAUAAAAAGCAAAGCAAAAAGAAAAGAGUGAAAGGUGGGAGGUUAAAAAGAAGUAAUUUUAAUAGUGAUUGCUUUUCAUAUGUUGUAAUAGACAACAUUAGUGCAAUAAGUUAUCUUAAUAUAUUAUUCUUCAAAAGUUUAUCAUCAUUAAAUCAAAUAUAAUUACCACAAAGCAAUUGGGUCAUGGCGUCAUUGUCAAGCAAGCGAGAUUUUUAAGUAUAGUGAUUGCAUGGGAGACACAAAGGUGAGGAUUAGGCCAUUUGUGUUCACGAAUUUGCCUCGGUAUUUUUGGAACAAAAUAGUCUGAAAAUUGAAUGGCUCUAAUUUAUGGUUAGGAGAUGGGGGUGUUCUAAUUCAGUAUGCUUUGAGGGAGUUUUGUCUAUAAUGUUGUGGAGGAGAUUAUUAUUGCUAGUCAAUUGCUGCAUUAGAGUUUUGUUCAAUACUUUGUUAGUUGUUGCAUUGGCAUUUGGACUCAGGCCAAAUUAUGAGAUAAAAUUAUGUGCAAUAUGCAUGCUGCAGACUGCAGUUGGUUGACUUUUGUGGUUGGAUUUCGGUGUAAUUUGUCACAAUAAGAGCAUAUCCAGUGAAGGUAUUUUCAUGAUUUUUUAAGUUAAGAAACGGUUUCUUGUGAAUUCUUCUGCAUUCGAACAUAAUGACCUGACAAAGUGGGUUCCUUAGUUGCUAAGGAUAGUUUCUUAUAUAAAAAAUUCUAAUGUUUGAAUUUCUUGUAAUUUUUUUACGAUUUCUUGUAUUGGAGUAAAAUUUUACAUGAGUUUUUUAUGAAUGAUAUGGCACUGUGAAACACAAAAAGUGAUGCUCCAGAGCAUUUUGGCAUCACNNNNNNNNNNNNNNNNNNNNNNNNNNNNNNNNNNNNNNNNNNNNNNNNNNNNNNNNNNNNNNNNNNNNNNNNNNNNNNNNNNNNNNNNNNNNNNNNNNNNNNNNNNNNNNNNNNNNNNNNNNNNNNNNNNNNNNNNNNNNNNNNNNNNNNNNNNNNNNNNNNNNNNNNNNNNNNNNNNNNNNNNNNNNNNNNNNNNNNNNNNNNNNNNNNNNNNNNNNNNNNNNNNNNNNNNNNNNNNNNNNNNNNNNNNNNNNNNNNNNNNNNNNNNNNNNNNNNNNNNNNNNNNNNNNNNNNNNNNNNNNNNNNNNNNNNNNNNNNNNNNNNNNNNNNNNNNNNNNNNNNNNNNNNNNNNNNNNNNNNNNNNNNNNNNNNNNNNNNNNNNNNNNNNNNNNNNNNNNNNNNNNNNNNNNNNNNNNNNNNNNNNNNNNNNNNNNNNNNNNNNNNNNAUUUGAUUUGGAUGUACUACACUUGGUCAUAUAUGGUAUAUUUUUCAUUUGGCCAUCUUACUAUUAAACAGGGGAGUUGAUAGUGGGUUUUUUGGGUGUCAUAUUUGUAAUGUUGUCUUGAAUUGCGUACAUCUCGUACUCAAUUCAUGUUUUGAUUCAUUGAUGAAUUUUUGGCUUACAGAGAAAAUAUAUAAGAAUUUUUUACUCAAUAUUCUAUGUGUAAAUGAGUGCACAAGCACAUAAGCAUCAAUAUUAAAUAUUAGUUGAAAUUUAUAGGGGUUUCAUAUUUAUUAUCUCCAAAAUAUGGGGAAAUUUUAAUAUGGUUCACGAUAUUUAUAUUCAGGUGAUUAAUUUUUGUCUUGAUUAAAAAAAUAAAUUUACAAAUUGUAAAUAUUAAGAUUAUAAGAAAGUUAACCAUAGAAAUAACAAAUAAUAUGAAUUGAAGCUUUUUUUAUCGAUAGGAAUUAAAAAUGGUAUAAUGAGAUUUAUAACAUUUACCAUCUUACUUAACUAGUUGAAUUAGACAUUUUUAGUAUAUGAAUUAGAGUUUAAUAGAUAUGUAUUAUUUUUGUUUUAAAGGAAAGAUAUGCAUUGUUAGUAUAAACGUUUUUAAAUUAUCAAUCAAUUAAAAAUUAUUAAUAUGAAAUUUAAGGAAAUCAUUAUAAAAUUUAAUAUAAAAACAUAUAACUUGUUUGUAUAUAUAUUAAGUUAAUAAAUUGUUGUAAACUUUAGGAUAAUAAGAAAUAGUUUUUAGUAUUUAUUAUCGUAAAUAUGAGAUGUAUUUAUACCAUAACCUAUUAGUUCUAUUUUUAUCUUUUCUUAAUGUUAUAAUACAUAAACUAAAGUAUAUAAUAAUAUCUUCAUUUGUAUUAAAAUUUUAUUGUCAUAUAUCUUUCAUCUUUUCCAUGUGUGUUAUCAUUCUUGUUAAUUAAUUUCUCUUUAAUUUAUUCUUUAAUAUUUCCUCUACUAUAACUAUUUAAAAUAUAUAAUCAAGAAUAAAUAAAAAAAGAUAUAACUAAAAAUAAUAAAUAUAUUAAUUAACUUUUGAGCAAAUUUCAGCUGCAUUCCUCGAGAUUUAGUGUAAUUACAAAAAAAAAAAAAAAAACCUCAUAUUUUUGUACCAUUACUUUUGUCUCCAUUGUGGGGAUGUUACUACAUGUUUGAGGGAGCGUCCCAUAAGUGUAAUGUUUUCAAACUCAAGGAAGAAUUAAUAUAAGAAAAAAAAAAUAAUAAUAAAAUUAUAUGUAAUUACAUCAAAUCAGUGUUGUAAUUUAUUCCUGACGUUUUUUUCUGCAAAAUGAAGAGAAACUUUAAGUACGACUAAUCUCCAAACCAAGAAUUAAUAUCAUAAUCGACCCAAAUGAUCAAAGCUUGUAAGAUAACUAGAAAUCCCACCAAAGAGCCAAAUGCCAUAAUUAGGAUGGCUAAAAAAAAUGAAGUGUCCACAAUACAAUGAAAUACAUUGGGCCAAUAGAGAUUACAACUCAAUUAAGAAUAAUAAUAAAAAAAGAACUUUUUCGGUGUACAAAUUAAAACAUUUAAAUAAGGAAUAUAAUAUAAUUAAUUAACAAAGGAGAGAGACCGUGUUUUCUUCGGAAUGUAGUAAUGUCCAAGAUAACUAACUAAGACCAAAAAAUGGCAAGUGGCAUGCAUAAACCUUAAGCAUAGCUUUGUAGCUUUCUUCAUCAAUAAAUUAACAACAUAGGAAACCUUAGGUAAGUGACAAUCGUGCAAAACUCCAUCAAACCCCUCUUCUGUGCCACAGUUGCAAAUUGCAAUGACCAAUUGAGCCACAAUAUGAAUUC